rnacentral:lncRNA from 1 species
UUUUUUUUUUUUUUUUUUUUUUUUUUGUAUUUGUGCAACACUUGUUGUUAUAUAAGGUAAGUAAACAGAGCACCCAGCUACCCACAAAAUCAUGUUAAUGCAACAAAAAAUGGUGACUGAAAUUUUAUGCAAAAGCAAAUUAAUGAAAGAGUUGCCAUAAUUGGCGACUCAAAUAUGGAAAAACAUAUAUUUCAUGAUUGCCGCAUUUAUGCCCAUUUAUCAUGGUCUAAAAUAUUCAAUUUUUUUCUUAGCAUUAAAGAUUUGGAGUUCUUUCUAAGGACAGUGGAGAAGAAUUUAUUAGAAAAAUCACAUGCAUAUGUAAAUUUAGUGCCCAUCAAUUAUGGUUCAAGAUCUUCAUUCUAUUUCAAGGCAACCAAAUUUAGAAUACCAUCGAAUGAAAAUGGAAAAAAAUCUAUUCAAAAAAUCAUUUGCCAGUUUUGAAUUCUAUACUGUCUCUCACUUCAUUCUUAAAGAUCAGAAUUUAGAUAAAAUGUUCACUGCGUGGUUGUAAAAUUACGUGACUUCCUCUACUGCAAUUUUGAGAUUUUGUAGUAUACUUUUGUUAGCAUUCUUCAUCACUGCCAAGAUCAUAAUGGAAUCCUGUAAAAAAAAAAAAAAAAGUUACAAACUUUUGACCAGAAAAUUGAAUGAAACGAACCCAAACUCAUUUUGUAUUUUUUUACGAUCAAAAUAAAGAUAAAUGGUGAACGAAUAGUAGAAUGCCACAAGAACUAUUCUAACAUCUCAUAUGUAAAAUACUAUCUUCAAAUCCAAAUGCCACCAUCUUGGAUUCACGUUCCAGACACAUGAUACAAAAUAAUUUGCAAAGAGAACAAAUUUAAGGGAUUCUGUAUAAUCUCUUUCUCUCAACUCUUUCUCUCGCUUCCAUUGUUGUGAUAAUUAUGCUUCAGGUUUAACAUUUAUCGUAACCAUCAAUUUUUUGUCAACAUUUCUACAGUGUCUAGAUCAAUCAACUGUACAUGUUGUGUCUAAACAUGGAGGAUUAUCCUUUGGAUAAUUAUUCCACUAUAUCACACAGUAAACUCUAAAACUACCUGCUACGAUCAAAUGGCUUACUUGAUCAUUAUGCACUUUUGAGUUUAUAAUUCAAAUAUUGAGUCAAUUUCAUUUUACCCACGAAAAAAUUUGUAGUGGAACUCGUUGAUAAAUGAGACUCAAUUUAGACAAUAAAAAUAGAUUUUGAACAAUUUCAAGAACAUUAUAGAAACAUGUUUGAGAGCAUUUAUGAUGAGGACUACUCGUAUUAUUAAGUAACUUAUAUGGAAUGCAUGCACUUGUGACUAUAGGAUCUCUUAAAAUUCCCUUCAAUCGAGUGUGACCAAAGAUUCUUAAUAAGCAUUUUCUUUGUGUCAAAGAUUUGUAGAAUCCAAUAAAAUUGUAAACAUGGGGUCAUUGUACAUGUUCAGAACGUCCAUGAAAAAUCAAUAAUGUGUUCUUCUUAGGGAUGACUCCUUCAUUUUGUACUCAUGUUUUUCAAUUAACAACGCAUGAGAACCAAAAUCACCGCAAAAAAGAUGUCACAAUUGUAUUAAAAAAAAUGUCCUUCUUUCAAUGAUGGUAGGUUUUGAAUUCUAAUGAUAAAAUAGGUAUUUUCAUAUUAAAUUGAUCUUUAUACACCCCCAAAACAAGUUUCUAGGAUCCUGUACACUUGUUACACUAUACACUUUCACACACUUCCUUACAAUGAUAUUGUGGAGAAUUUGUUAUCGGCUCAAACUAGUUAAACAUUUAGCUUAUCAAGUUAUUUUUUGAAAUGGUAUUUGUCUUAAUGUGGUACAUUUAUUUUGUUCUUUCUACGAUUUUGAUGAUCAAAAUAUCGACGGCCGUAUUAUGUGUAACAAAAUGAAUCUUCAACAAGUACUAAAAAAUAAACAUCCAUAAUUAAAGGUUUACAAUUUUAGUUAUCUUGAAAAUGAAAAUAACAUUUAUGGAGGCAUGAUCUAUGUAAAUCGAAACUGAGAACAACAGACGUAGCAUAAUAAAAGAUUUUGUAAUUGGUGCAAUGGAAAAAAAAAACAUAUUGGUACUAAAUUAUUUUUGUUGCACUUCAUGUGAUGAGCAGUAUGCAUCUAACUUGGUUUCCAAAUUCAAAGUCAUUUUAAGAUCACAUACCUUGUUUGUUACGUAAAUGGGCUAGAAAGCUAACUAUAUACAUCAAGCUGCAUAGGAAAAAUAGGAAAAACAGAAAAAGGAGUAAGACAAAGAGAAAUUAUACUUUCAUGGCUACAGUUAAUUAAUUCAAUGACAAGAAAACUAGAAUUCACCUCCUUUUUCAGUUAGGCAUUUUAAAUGGACAAUAUUUGCAAAUGUAGUAGCAUUGUCUCUUCUUCAGUAAGUACCCCAUGACAUUUUGAUCCCUUAUCAUUUCUUUCAAUAUAAUCCUCUAUAUGAAAUUUCUCAUUUUCUGCUCUAAAAGCGUCAUUCUCCUCUCUUUCCUUUUGAAACUAGGAAAAAAAAACUAGUAUUGAAUCAUCAUAAUGCAAAGUAUAUACAACCCAAGAAAACCCUUAAAAGUACACGCAAUUUUUAUUCUUUAAGAAAAAUAGUAUACCUUAUUUUGGUUUCUUUUAUUUUGAAACAAAAACUCUAUUUGGCUGGAUGAAAGCCCAAGGUUUGUCCCCAGUUACUGGUGUUCGUAUCAAAGCCAUACACCUUCAAAAUGAAAAUAAUAACAUAGAGAUGGCAAAAGUUAAACCAACAAGAAAAGAAUUAGCCAAAAGUUUCGGAUCAUAUCACUGAGAGAAUGAAAAAAGGUUAGUUUUCCUAUAAAACAAGUCAUUAAAGAAAAAGAUAUUACAGAAUGCAGUAAGCAUAUGAUUCAUCUUCUGAACGUGAGGGAAAAUACUAAACUUACACUUCAAACUGUUGGAUUCGUUCUACAGAGAGAAGCAGUUCCAUAUCUUCUCCUAUAUCAAAGAAGCUUUGUCGCUAGAUCCACCUCCACCAAAUACAAAAUCCAUGACUUUUUUCACCAAAAACAAAAGGAUUGAUUGAUAAGUAUGUAAAUUAACCUCAAGAGAUACACAAUUUGACACUAGGUUGUUUUUAAUUCACAUAGAAAAUAGAACUAUGUUUUGUUUAUUUGACUUUAGUCCAAAUAUCAGGAACAUCAAACAUUCAUGUCUAAAAUGAAAAAUUUGGAAAGAAAGGAAUCAAACUUAUACCUGGCUUUCUUCUGUCUAUGCUCUGAUGGAGUUUGAAUGGAAGCUAGUGUUGUACGCUUCUCUUAGUUGCGAUGAAUAUGGCCAAUAAGCAUAGUUAUUUAUAUAGAAAAAUGACACUUGUUAAGAUGAUGUAGUUAUAUAUUAUACCUAGCCGGUAAAGAAUCUAAAAUGUAAGAAAAAUAAAUUGAAGGUGAGAUUUUAUUAAUAAAAGAUAAUUGAAAUAAUUCCCUAUAAGCCCCACCACAUAUUGUUAUUAAAAGCUCUUGUAUUUGAAUUGUGCCUGACGAGAUUCUACGAUACAUCAAAUUUUAAUAAAAUCUAAAUACCUCAUUUUGCUACAAGUAUAUAGAUCGUUUAUUGAGUAUAAGGCAUUAGGUGUUGAUCCCAUAAGAAAUAUUGUCACUUACUGAUGGUUUUCAAACUCCUUUAUUAUUUAGACUAUCACGAAUGCAAGAGAUUAAAUCUACACUGCAAACAUAAAAUCAAAGUAAUAAAAAUAACAAUAUAAAACUCCUAGAGGUAUAGAAUUCCUUACUACUCUUGCAAGUGAAAUCACCGGUUAAUUGAAUGUGAUUAUCUUGACUAAUUAUGGCGUAAUUUUCUCCUAUAUGUGAAACUUACUCUUGCAAGUGAAAUCACCGGUUAAUUGAAUGUGAUUAUCUUGACUAAUUAUGGCGUAAUUUUCUCCUAUAUGUGAAACUUACUCUCGCAAUGAAUCAACUAUACUUGUAAGUAAACCAUACCUACUCUCGUGAUUAUGAAAUUAAUUAUAAGAUUAUUUCUUCUAUGAAAUUACAUUGAACAAACCACUAAAGCCACAAAGGUGUACGUCUACUCUCGUGAGCGUACUCUCUAGGUUUAACACUUCUUUGAACUAGUAUCAAAUCUCAAUUUUCAUUAUAAACUUGACACCUAAAGAUUAUCACAAUUAAUGGCCAGUUAAUCAUGAUUAGAUAAGCAAAAGUGAUAAGUAAUUUGUUCAAAAUAAUAUCAUCAAAUAACCAAUUAAAUAUUACUAACAAGAUAUAGAAAGUCCAUCUAUAACUCUAGACAUAAACUUUAGCACAACAUGAAGAGAAUGAAAGAAAAGACCAUACAUGUAUUAUGACUAACCAUGAAUUCAAGUAUAAAAGAGAAAGUAAUAGGAGAGAAAUCUUUUUUUUUUAACAUAAGUAUUUUAGUUAUUUUAAGAAAAUUUUGACAGAGUUUCCCCUUAUAAAUAGACGAAACUCUCUGCCAACAAACCCAAUUUUAAGAGAAAAUAUGACAUGCUAUCAAAUAACUGGUACGAGUGCACCAUUUCCUGUCCAUGCGAAUUUCCCCUUGCAUCUGUCUUGGAAUUGCUCUUCCCUGACUAGGCUAGUUACUCAGACGAUUUUUUAAGAAAUCGGAGAGAGGGAAGACCUAAUUUAUCCAGCCUGACCGUCCCUCUUGCCAGCUGUGGCAGGCGACUUGGUUGGUCAUAAACCCUAAUCUGGUCAAGUGGGUGCAAGAGACCUUCAUUAGCGAGUAUGUCUGCCACCGUGUUUGCUUCUCUAAAGCAGUGAGAGAAUUGCCCUGGACCCUCAGCCAGCUGCCAUAUUUGGAAGACCUCUCUACGAAUUUGCCAAGGACACUGAAAUCUGCGUUGCAAUAUGCCUAUUAACACCAAUGAGUCGGAUUGUACUUGAACCUGUGUAAAGCCUUUCUGACCGCAAAGUCGGAGACCCGCUAACAGAGCCAAUACCUCAGUACGCAAACUUGUACCGACCCCCAGGAAAACUGAAUAUCCUACCAAAAAUCGACCAUCUGAAUCCCGGAAUACACCACCCCCGCCACUCAUUCCUGGGUUACCCUUAGAGCACCCGUCUGUAUUAAGCGUAACUAUCCCCGUACCUGCUGUCCGCCAUCAGACAAGGCUGCACUGGAGAGGGGAUGAGGGUUGGGAAAGACUUUCAAAAAACUGACCAAAAGUCGGUGGGAAACUACCUUUGUUAAACUUGUCUGCAACCGCCAUAGCAACGUCAUGGAAAAUGCCAUGACAAAUAUCUCCAGACGACAAUCUGAUCCCUUCCCAAAGUGCUUUAUUUCUCACCUUCCAUAUGUGCCAACAGAUGAAACUCGGGAGAAUAAAGACCACAAGCCGUUUUUGGACCUCCGUUUGCUUGGACAACCACCAAGCCAUCGCUCUGUCACGUAACUGACUGCUAGGCAAACCUAUUCCACAAACGACCCCAAAGAAACCCCAAAUCUCCCUCGAAAGUUGUCCCAAUGCAAAAAUAUGCUCAAUAGAUUCCCCUGCUGCCAUACAGCAGCAGAAGCAUUUUGACGGCGAUUGGACCCCAAACUUACCCAAGAUAUCAUCGAGCGGUAGUCUCUGCAGUAGUAGGCGGAGCAUAAAGAAAGAUACUUUUAAUGGGAUCUGGGGAUGCCAAAUAUGAGAGAAGAACCAUGAGGCGUUUCGAGAUUGCCUGACCUCAUGGAAGGCGGAAGAUAAUGAGAACUGCCCGGAUGUCGACGGCAUCCACACCAUCUCGUCCGGCCGCUCAGCCUCUGGGGGUGGCUGCUGUAAUAUCAGAGCCGUGAUGUCCCUUGGAAAGUAUUGGGCAAGAAGCAUUGAAUUCCACCUUCCAUGUACAAGGAAAUCCUUGAAUGUCAAGGUCCCGUGAACCUGAACUUUAUGGAAAAGAGCCCCAUUACCCAACUAGUUGUCAUACCAAAAAUCACAAGUUCCCGCAUUUACCAACCACCGCAUGGAAAGCUCCGCUUGACAGCUCACAUUAACUAGUCGUUUCCAGGUAGCCGGUGCCCUCACACUGUACUCCACCUGACAUGGGUGACAGGAGCGACAAUAUUUUGCUAGCAGAAAUUUGGCCCAGAGAGAAGUGCGACACUUAUUUUAGGAGGUUGGUGGGAACUCUCAGGUAUUUAACUUCUACGAGGCCUGACAUCACUUAUGGAAUUGGUUUGAUUAGUAGAUUCAUGAAAUCUCCACGCCAGUCUCACUUGCAAGCUGCUAAGAGAAUUUUGAAAUACGUUCAAGGUAUGCAAUCUAACAGUAUAUUUUAUUCAUCUUCACAGGGUAGCAACUUUGUUGGAUAUACAGACAGUGAUUGGGCUGGUGAUACAAUACGAAGGAGGAGCACUUCUGGUUAUGUAUUUUAUUUGGGAUCUGGUGUAUUCUCUUGGUCUUCAAAGAAACAACAAGUGGUUGCUUUGUUCACAGCAGAAGCAGAGUACAUGGCGGCUACGAGUAGUGCUACUCAAGCACUUUGGUUGCGGAGAAUGCUUGGAUUCUUACAACAUAAGCAAGAUGGUCCUACCAAAAUAUUUUGUAAUAGCAUGUCUGCUAUUGAGUUGACAAAAAAUCUUUUCAUGGGCGCAGCAAACAUAUUGACAUCAAGUAUCAUUUUAUUCGUGAGUUGGUUCAAGAGCAAGAAAUUGUCAUUGACUAUUGCAGAAGUGAAGAUCAAGUAGCUAAUAUUUUGACAAAGCCGCUCAAGUUGGAGAUGCUCAUGAAAUUGAAGAAGAUGCUCGGCAUGGUGAAAUUUGAAGAUCUUGAUUUAAGGGAGGCAACGUAGGAAUUAAAUCAAGAUUAUUAUAUGUUAGUUUCUGAAUUGGAGUUGGUUGGAAUUAGUAUAGUUCGGGUCUACGUCUAGCUAGUUGAGCUCCAGUCUAACUAGGAUGCUUGAUGUCCAAUUCCAAUGUGGUCUUUGAUUCAUUAGAUGGUGCGGACAAAAUCCCUGAGCAAUAUGGAGACUUGGUGCCCAUAUAUAUAUGUGUAGUACUAGUCUGCUUGUGUGUGGCAUGUAAAGGAGCCGAGAGACUUAUAAAGAAAUAUAGGUUUUGCCUCUUGAAGCUUUUCAUAGUUCUGCUUCUGCUUCAUUGCCUCGCUUCGUCAUAAACAGUGCUAUUUAUUUAUCCCUUUUUUAUUCUUUAUCCUUCGCUGCCUAAUUAAUUCAUUGAGUGAAAUUUAUUUGUUGUUAUCCUGUGGGUUAUAUUUCUACAAGUACACUAAUGUUGCUCAAAAUCUCAAGCAACAUUUCCAUAAUUUUGAUAUUUUUUCAGAGACCAUGCAUGAAUGUGAAAGUGAUAUGUAACUUUAGGAUCACUGUAUUUCUUUCUUGGCAAGAGUUGUUUUGCCAAUGGGAACAGUAUGCCAACAAUGGGAACAGUAUCUUGCUAUGAAGAUCCUCUUGCAAGUGUAUGAACAAGUUACACGAACUAAUCCAAAAGGAUAACCUUGAGCGCACUCAAGACGCGUUGAAACCAACUAACAUAAAGUGUUUGUAUGUGAUAAAAUAUAUCAAAGAUGAAUGAAUAUUACAGUAACCCUAACUGAGCCUAUUUAUAAGCACAUAACUACUAAAAACAUAUAAGGAAUAGGGAAACUACUAAAACUACCAAAAUAGAAAAAGAAAAGAAAUAACAAGAAAAUUAGCUAUUAAAAUCUCUAUUGGCACAUGCUACCUGCUCCGGGGCUGGAUCCAAGGCCCACGGUUCAGGCUCUGGGGCCGGAUCAUUGUCAUAAGAGGCCAAAAUUUGCCAUUGUGAUCUGCCGCUGGAUCCAGCACUAGGCACCCUUGGAUCCAGCGCAGGUUCUUCCUGGGGGGCCUGAGGAUGUUCCACUGUCAGGGACACCAACCAUUGAUCAACUUUUGGUUGAGUUACCUUAUCUAGCAAAUCUGAAAAUGAACUGAUUGAUAUCUGGAUCGUCUCCUUUGACAAUUUCUUGGUUAGAAAAGUGUGAUAGAGAGAAAUAAUCCCACUAGCAACCUCUUCAAAGUGUGAUAGAUUCGGUUUCACAUCCUCGACCGGGUGAUGUUUGACAAGUCAGUAAGUCCUGCAAAUAUCUCCCUGCCUUGGAGAGAAGAAUUCUUAGAAGCAUCAUUGACAGUAAAUUCCUUAUCUUCGACUCUGUCAUUUUCUCAGCUUGAAACGAUUGAUAGAGAGACUCUAUCUCGCCAACCACUUCCUCCAUCACAAUCAAGGCCUGGUUCGCAUUGUUUAACUCCGUCUGCGGUAUAUCUCUGGAUGAUGAUGUUCUAAGCAUUUCCAGUCCCUUACUGAGGGCAUUAAUUUGGUCUGCAGUGUCUGGUGAAAACAUUGUGCCGAUACCUACUUGAUGCUCAAGGAAGAUCUCUACCUUGAGAAGUAAAAUCUUCUGCUCGAGAUACCAAAGCUUGGCCUUAUGCACCUCACAAGAUGAAAGACUAAUAAAUGGGACAUCUCGGAGAGGUAAGGCCUCUCUAAGCACUGCCAUAAUAUCUGCCAUGCGACAUUCAUCCUUCUCACUCGAUUCCUCUUGAUGAUGGAGGACAUAGCUUACCAGGGUCAUCAACCCUAUAUGACGAUGAUUAGUGCCCUGUUUCAAACCAAAAAGAUGAUCUAGAAAGAACAUGGUUUUGUAAUCAGCUUCUCUAAAUGCUGUCAUCAAUUUGAGGUCUUUCAGGAAUUUGAGAUUCAACUCGAGAAACUUUGAAUCACUAGGGUCAAUCUGUUGUUGCAGAUCCAAAAUCCCAACAAUUGCACUUACUACCACUUUUGAAUUCAUUUGCCCGAACCAGUAAAUACAAGAAUAAUAUGCUGUCUGAACAGUAACAGAUGCUACAUGGUGCAGGAAAUCUUUAAUUUGCCAGUUUCUAUCACGUGGAAUAUAAUAACUACUUGUCACUUGACUUGAGAAAGGAAAAAUCUGAGGAAUGUCACCUGUUUUCUGAAGGCAUGAAAUUUUUCUGCUAGAACAGGAUCAGAUUCAACUCUUGUGGAGAUCAAUUCCAGAUUCUCUUCUACCGAACCAAUAAAACAUUUCAAGGGAUAAUGAUUAUAAAAGGGCCAGGAAUUCUUCAGAUGAAUGGAUUCACUAGGCUGGAAACAAUGAAGAGCUGCUUCAGCUUCUGGCCUUGGCUGCUCAAUGUUUUUAAGAGACUCACGCAUAAAGUGAGCCAAUUUGGAAGGUCUUCUUAAAGCAUAUCUCUUUUCACGGGCAAAGUUUAGAUUGUGAUUUAUCUCAUCCUCUGCAGCUUCCAUCUUAGAUAUGAGAAAUCCUGUACCCUGCACAUCCUUUCCUGUUUUAGUCCAAUAGUGACUUGACCACCAAAACAUCAUCACAAAUCCCCACUCCAUUUUAAGGCUAUCAAUCAGAGAUUGCAGAACAGAGCUCGUAACCUCCUCCUCUGGAUCCAUCUCCGUUAAGCCUCGUUGUCCAGACAACACGCGACAAGCAGUAAAAAGCUGUGUGCAGUGCACUGGAUGACCAUCCUCCUCAUGCGAACCUUUGGUAGCAGCAAGAAAAUCAUCAUUCCUCAGCUGCUGGCUCAGCUCCUCUACCAGAAACUCUUGUGCCUCUAGGGCACAAGAAACUCUUUUAAAUUUACCAGAAACCUCAGCCAUCAAAGACGUCAAUAAUUGACACCCUUUUUGCAAUCUCAAAACUUUUCACUCUUAGGCAGCAACACUAAUAUUAGAUGGAGAAAGAAAAAUGGUAUAAUAUGCCGGUUAAGCAGUGCUGAUUGCACAUUGAACAGGGUCUUACUCUCCUGGGCGGGUGUUACUGGAAAUUCUCUUAUGUGGAGUCUUUGGUAAAAGACUUGGCUUGUAAGCAAAAGCAACAUGAAGAACCUCUAAUAAAUGAAGCUUGAUAGAUCUAGUGCAAACAAAUACAGAUGCUUUUGCACCAAUAUUUUGAUUACAGUAACUCUUCCCUAAUAAAUGACAGAAUUAUCCUAUAAAACAACCAAAUACUAAUCAGUACUCAAAAAGCACACAUAGAUUUUGAAUAUCUGUGCGAUAACUUGUUAUAUCUACCAUACAUCUAUUAACUAAAAUAUGUCUAUGAUUAUGUCUACUAUAUGACCAUUAACUAAAAUAUAUCUAUGGUUGACUGAUUGAGGAGCUGCACGAAUAGUCGAAGCCAUACCCAAAGUUUCUUGUCAAGCUGGCCAUAUGAUUAUAUCUGUCUCAGUUCCUGACCAGUCCUUUUUUACAAUAGUUCAACAUCUUCAAGACGCGUGUGUUGUUGUACACCUAAAACCACCAUUCUUCAACUCUCAGUUGAAAAAAUAAAUCACUCCAAACUAUCAAAAUUCAUUUCCUUUCUAGGACUUCAAGCCAAACAAGAUCAAGUUUAUGUCACACAAUUAUGGAGGCAUUGAUCAUUUGGUUCAUCUAAAUAACUCAGAAUGAAACUCUUAAGUCACAGGCAAUGUACUUGAAAGACAAGGACGGAAAAAUUUUCACUAAUGGAACAUUGAAUCAGGCCUUUUGACUUUUUUUUUUUCCAGUAAACAAAGACAUCAACUGCCAGAUGCCAGCCAUCUUUAAUGGAAAGUAAACGCUAAUUGUAACAAGCAAUGCAGAACUAUUAAUUUGUUUGUCACUUAAUAUAUUCUAACGGAGGCAAUCGAGAAAGAGUUAUUAAUCAAAAUUAUUACCAGCAGCUGACAGUCAGGAACCGGCCAAAAUAGAAAAUAAUCCUAUAGAAAAACUUUUUUAUGGGGUACAUGGAUACGUGUACCCAACACUAGUUAAGCAUGAAUAUUUAAAUAAUCAUGAUUAAAUAAGCACAAUUAGGAAAGAUUAUCUCCUACAGAAACAAUAAUGAGACAGGAUACAUGGACGAAAAAAUUGUUUAACCACGUAUCUAAUUCAAGGGAGAAAAAAAAAGUCAGAAUCCUAGAUGACCAGUACACGAAUAAAAAUACAUGCCUGGGAGGGAACAGAAGGAAGUCUUGUCAACGCCAACAGCUUGGGCUGGGCGUAUAGGCGCACCAUCUCACAAAGCAUAGUUUAAAUUACCGGUGCCAUGCUGAGACAGCAUCUUGACAAGGGGAUCUAAAUAUGUUAAAAAAUUUUCAGCUAAACUUUGGAUUUGUUCUUUCAGGAUGAAUUUAGACCUAUAUUUAAACUUGGAAGUGCAGUACGUGUAAGCAGAGACUGGUGCCCUGUCCCUUUUUUUUUUCCUUUAAUGGCAAACCCUGUACACGAGAUGCUGUUAUGUCCUUUCUCUGAUGAGUGCUAGUGGUGACAAACAUUCGAGAGAACAUUUGCAGGAAAUGAAGCAAAUCUCCAAGCAAGAAGAGGGCAUAGGAUAUAACAGUGAUAAAUUCUAUUAAACCAAUGACAAGUUAUGGGAUGGUUUUAGUUGAUGGAUCCAACCAAAUAACAAGGACUGAUAUUAUUCUUGGGCCUGCUAAUUUCCGAAAGAGCCUCAGGAAAAUUUACCAACUUGUUUAUGAAUUCCUAAUUUACAACAGCAUUUACCAUGCUUUCAUUGAUCUCUGAAUAACUAAAUUGCAAUUAAGCUUCUUUCUGAGCAAGUAAAUUGCAAUUAAGCUAGCUGAAGAAAGAAUUGCUUUGCCUGGGAUAGCUCUGUAAUGAGUAUGUUAAAUGUAGAUCUUGAACAUGCAGAGCCCUACCCGCAUUUUGACAUGCAUCUAGAUGCUUCAUAAGUUGAUACUACAAUGCAACCGUUUUCUUUGUCUUAAAAUUAGCAAUUAACUCACUGUAUCUAAUUGUAGGUUCUUUAUCUACAAAAUUACUUAGUUACAAAUGUCAAAUGAAAGAUUCAAAGAAAGACAUAUACAGAAGGCAAUUAAAAGGCACAUAAUGCUUUACUUCAGAACUUACUAAAGCAAUGGUUUCCAAACACCAUGAUUACAGGGGUAUCAUUUUAGGAGCUCAUUAGCCAACAAAAGUGCACAUCCAUUGACCUAAAUCAGAAACUUAUAUUUCUAAACCAAUUAACAUGGUGGUCUAUAAGGCUUAGGAGCAUUGGGAUUUCCUUGCUCAUAGAAAGUCCGUAGAAGAGAGAUUGCCUCUGAUGCCAUUAUUCCUCCUUGGCACUUGAAACCCUUCCUAGAGUGGUCUCUAAAACCAGUGGGAGUCUGAAUGCUACCAGAAUGCAGUGACAAUAUAGAUCUGCAUCCUCCAAAUUUAUCAUUCGCACAACCAUAAUAUACUUGUUUUAUUCCAAGAACGAAUAAGGCUGCAGCACAUAUUAUGCACAGCUCGCAUGUGACGUAAAGGGUGCAGAUUGAAAACUUUCAGCAACUUGAGCCUUUGAAUGUCCAGUUUUCUGCCACUGGUCCAGCAGGACAUCUAUCGCUUCCAUCUCCGCAUGCCUUGUAGCAUUUUGGCUCUCAGUGGUUCGAUUUCUUCCAGAGGCAAUAACAUUAUUCCCUUCAUUCACAAUAGUACAACCAACAGGCACUUCAAGGCUAUCUAAAGCAAGCUUUACUUGGUCCAAUGCAAACUUACAUAAACCAUAGUAUCUGGAAUGGUGUCCAUCUUUAGUCUUAUUGUGGCUGCAAAUACCUACAUUUAUGCCAAAUGAAACGGUGGCUACUAAGAUUUGCUGAAUGCAAGAAAUGGCCAGGGGAGGAAUAGCAAACAAGAGGAAAAUUGCCUUAAAUACAUGUAUAUCUACAGUAAUGAAUAACAUCAGCCGUGGAAACACAUGCUUGUCACAUAAAAUGUUUCAUAAAAUACAUUCUUUGAACAAAUUAGUAUUCAAUGCUUGGAAUUUUAAAAAAUGAAUUUCCUUAGUGCGCCCCAGGAGGGUUGUUACAAGAAAAUUAAGUAGAAGAAUAAACCUUCUUGAAUAAUAACAGAAAGACACUCCAUUCUUCUUUGUAUUCCUCACAGAAGUCAACAUAGAAAGAAGCAUAAUCAACUUUCAAGCACCCCUCUCCAAACUUGAAAUUCAAUCACUCCAAAUCCAAGAUGUUCUUUUAAGAAAAAGAUUUUUUGCCCAAACAUUUCCCAACAAGUAAUCCCAACUCAUAUCAAAUGCACUGCCUGUAAAAUCUAGUCUACAACUAUCACAGAUAAUGCAUUCACUGAACUAUUAUGUCACACUUAAGAAAGUUACAAGCCUAUUCUUCCCUACAAGCACGAAGUACAUAUUCUCAUGUUGUGGUGACAACGAUUUAAUGUGGGGCUGCGAUAAUAAGACAAUCCACAGAACAACAUGCUUUUUAUUUCUCCAUAACAUCAAUGCAAGAUACAUGGUCUCUGUACUUUGCCCCUGUUGUCCAAAGACUUAACAGUAUUAGGGUGUAAAGAAGCAAAAGCAAAGAUUAACUAGCUUAAGACACAGGAUGUCUCAUAUCUUUUCAGAGUAGAGCAUACAGAAAGAAGAAUCCUGCAUUGGUUGCUUUUUAAAAAAUGUGUAUCUCUCAUUAAUUCGCAUUAGGCAUGCAACUUUACAUAUAAGGUUACAAAGAGAACCACCCCAAAAAAAAAAAGGCAGAACAGCAAGCGUAAAUACAGUGGUUCAAGUUACAUGUAAAGUAUCCUAGUAAUCCAGCUUAAAAUCAAAAUGCAAAUGGGAAAUUUCCAUAAGAAAUGCAUCUGCAGAUAGAUCCAGGUAUUAGAAUUAUCAUUGCUGCAGGCUAAAAUCAAUCUUCAUGCCACAUCAUAGUCCACAGUCCCCAAAAAUAUUUCUUUUUCCCACAACGUAAUCCUAGUUGUUGAAAUAUUAACUCUGGCUUAAAACAGUGCCUCAAAGCUAUGAUAUAAUAAAAUUGUUCACCAACAGUAGAAUUGAGUGCUAGUAUUCAGUCAAAGUACCUAUUGAUAAUAUACAACCACCAAGCUUUCAGCAGAUGAUGAGAUGUAUAUCAUCAUCUUAAUAGAUUUCUAAGAAUAAAUAAAUCUUGUCUUUUCACCAGAGAGAGUAACCAGCAGUAACACUUGGACAUCAGGGCAUCAGCACAAAUUCAAUAACUGAAGAGGUCCUUCACGACUGGCCAGAAUUACCUCUCUCGUGCCACACACGAACACACAAUACACACUGAAAUUUUAAAGAAAAAUGCAGAAAAACAGCAAAAACAAAAAGAAACAUGAACCACAAAAAAUCUGUCAAAACUUCUGUCAUUUUGCCAGAGAACUCAGAUGCUCGGUUUUCCUCUUUUGAAUGUGCAUAGUCACCAGAUUCUUCCCUCUAGCUGAAGUUGUUAUUGGGGCAUUUUCACUAAUGGGUUUUUGGCCACAAAAAAAAGUCUUUUAUAGGAUUUAAAAGUAAUCAUGUGAAAAAAUUUCUAAUGUAAUCACAUUCAAUCCAUACUAAUUCAAACGACAUUCACCUUCCAACCAAAAUCAACAAGCAAGCCAAAAAAAAAUCAUGCUACAUGAAAACAAAAUAACACUAUUUUCAUGAAAAUAAUGGAUAAAUAGAAAAACAAGGCUUGUCAGACCUUUACAGUAUUUCAAAGGAGCUUUUGGCAGUGGCAGUGCUGGAUUACGGUGAGAUAGUGAUAAGUACCUUAUAUGCACUAUCUUUUUUGGCUAUUUUAAGGAAUUUCUAAUCACUUUUUAAUCAAAAUCAAGUGUUGAAGAUGAUAUUAUCCUAAAAGUUAAUGUUUGAGCAUUGUUGUUCAAUGACUAGAACUUUUGUCUCUUUUUACCUAUUUGGUUGGUUGAUUUUGUAGGAAAAGGGGCGAAAGACUUGCAGGUAGUUUGGUCAUCAAGAUAAGCGAAGAAAGCAAGAAAUGUUUGUAAGGACUUGAAAAUUAUUUUAUAUUCUUCCUACAAUUUUCUUUAUUUUUGAAUAAGUUAAUUUAUAUAUUCUUUUGAACUAAUUUGCUUGUCUUAAUUUCUUAAAUACUUUAACAAUUGAGUCAAGUGUUUUAUCUUUUCUUUUAUAGUUUGGUGCAUGUUAAGUUUUGUAGUACAUUGUGGUAGUGUGACCAACUAGAGAGGUGUGUAUUAAAUUUGGUGGAUGAGAAUGGGUGCGGUGUUAAAAGGAUUAUAUGAUUAGAAGUGUUAAAAGUUAGAAGUGUUAAAAGUCUAUUAGAGGAACAUAAACAAGCAAUAAGAGGCUAAGAGAGAUGAAGAAAUCGGAAUGAAAUCAUAUGCCGUCAAAUAUCGCACUUCUAGGCAACUUUGACCAAGACUUCUUCUAGUGUUUACCUUGUAAUUUUUCACCAAAAAUCCUCUACUUUUCUUCUUCUUUUGGCCGAACCUAUAGAGAGAAACUACUACAAAUUUCUGCCUUGAUCUUUGCUUGAUUUAGUAAGAAAAUCAACAAGAAAGCUAAAUCCAAUCCGUAGAAAGUAGCAACAAGGGAGUAAGUAAACUUGUGGUGAAGUAAUUUGGGAAAGAAAGCUCUUAUUUUUGCAUUUUCCUCUUGGGAUUUGUAGGUAUCAUGCUAAGAAACUUUUCUCUCUUUAUAUAUGACUUGAUUAUGAAAGUUUUGUGAAGGAUUUCGUGGUUUUGUGAAGUUGGUUGAAUUUUUCAAUUUUAAUUUGUAUUUUUCCAACUUUGAGAUGAGAAGUUCUAGCUUUGAUAUGAACUUGUGGGUUUUGAUAUGAGAAUUUCUAGCUUGAAUAUGCACUUUUAGCUUAGCUAUACGAUUUUCUGGCUUUAGUUUGCAAUUUCUAGCUUAGAGUUUGUGACGACCCCACCUUCCCCUAGGACGAACCCAAAGGUUUUGGCGGACCGCCUGCUCAACUCUUGUCAUGAUUCACUCACUAACAUUCUUGAAAUAGUCUUUCACGCCUCUAGAUUAACAUAAAAGUUCCAUUCAUCCAAGAAUUUCAACUUAACUUAGAAUCCAAAAGUAAAACAUAGGAUUCCAUUAACAAAGAUCCCAAAUACAUUUCAUCUACAAAAGUACAAGUACAUGAAGAUUAUACACACUAUUUCAUGCUUACUUGCUCAGACCUCCAUUCCUGUAAGGAAAACAAAAACUAAAACAAUGAACUAAAAGUCCAGUGAGAUUCCCAAACAAGCACUCAGGUAGAUAAACUAUGGAAGUAUUACAUUUAACAAUUUGCACAGUAAUAAACAAUCAUUCAAGAAUCAAACAUUUAAUCAUUGGAAAGAUACGUACUCACUUGAAAUCGUGAAGUCGCCUACCAUUUCCCUUAUUCCUCCGACAUUUGAAAACAUUAAAAGUGAAAACUCUUUCAGUGUUCAUUUCAUUCAUUCAUUCAUUGCAUUGCAUUCACUGGCCAGUUCUCCACCUGAUUUCGUGGUCAUGCUCGAGUAUACCAAAUACUGUCCCAGUAUCACCAGCGGCCCGAUCGAAUCCGUUUCUAGUUCGAGUCGACUGGCAAUGAAGAGUAAGGGACUAGUUCAGCCAAAGGCAUACAUUCAUGCACAAGUAAUUCACUUAGGUCAAAUGCAAUAAAGUAUACACUCGCCCAUCGAAAAUCCAUUUAACAAUCAUUGAAAAGCAUUUAACAUCCAAGCAAAUAUUCACAAUAUUCCACAUAACCAUUGGAAGCACAACAUGCAAGGAACACUAACCGAUAUUAGUAGAUUAAAUAUCAACUCUUAGGAUAAUAAUCUUGAUCGCUACCAAAACCCUGAGGCAAGAUUCACAAUCACAAUAGGUUUAAAUUUCGUAGCUUCAACUAGCCACGUCUAGUAUUCCAAGGUAUUCCAUAUACUUCUCACUUUGAGCUCAAGACUUAAAGAUAAAAUCCAACACAAAUAUUCUAAAAGUGAAGAGAGCAAUUUAAGCAUCCAAAAUCACACCAAAUUAAGGUUUAAGACCUAGAAAAGUAUUCCAACUCCCACUCAAUUCAUUUGAUAAAAUUCUCAACUUUGGAGACAUUCUUUGAAAAAGCAUACCUUGACUUCCAUAGGUCAAAAUAUCACAAAACUUGCACCAUUAUAAAAUAGACUCGAAGCACUAACAGGCUUUAGAAGACAUCUUCAUGAAAUUCAGCUCAUAGGUUAGUCAAAUUUUAGUUCAAACUCACUGCUGUCUCAUGUGCAAAAAUAGGAUAGUCAUAGUUUUCAAGAAAGUUUACCGAUUUGCUGGUAUUUAUAGGAGUUGAACCAAAUCCUGAAUUUUAUAUCGUUGAAAGCCCUAUGAGUCUAGUUUCAAACGCAACAAUUGGAACUCAAUUUCGACUUUCCUAUACAAAGUUAUAGUCAAUUUCCCAAAACUGCGCAGGACUUCCUGUGAAAAUUUUCCAGCAAGUUAUUAGUUUGGAAAACUAGGUUUUUCCCCUUCUUAAACUUCUUUGUUUUGGUUGAAAACUAACACACAUGCAAAGAAAUAGAUUGUAACAAGUGUUUUGAGAAAAUUCAUAUGAAAGUUAGAAAUCUUAAAGAUCAACUUAAAUAUCCUUACGUAAACCAAGUCCGAAUUGAUCACAAAUCACACCUCUACUUCCACUUUUACUCACUUACCCCACAAGAAGAAAAUUGGGCAGCACCUCCCCUAUUUUUCUUAACUUUUCCCUCAAAUUUUUUAAGUUAAGUUUCAUGGCAAAAUAGCCCAAAUCAACUCCACAAGUUAUAAGAUAAAAGGGGUUCUUAUACUAGGUUACAAUACCAACUAAUUUAAACUUAUCUCUAGCAUAUAAACAUCACAUAUCUAAGUUGAAAAUUUUUCUACCAAGGCUGAAAAUUUGGAACUAAAGCUGGAAAUUCUUAUUUGCAAGCUAAAAGUCACAUUAAAGCUAUAAAUCUUCAUACAAGUCCAUAUCAAGGUUAGAUACCAUCAUAUCAUGGCUAAAAAAUAUAAUACAAAGCUGAAAAAUUCCACUAAUCUUCACAAAUCCAGGUUAUCUUCCAUAAAACUUCUAUAUUCAAGUCGUUUUCCUAAUAAAAUGCAAGAUGAGAAAGAGAAAGAAAGUUUUUCAACUUAAUACCUUCAACCUCUAGGAGAAAAUGAAAAAUUAAAACUUUCCUCUCCAAGUAACUCCACUACAAGUUUGUUCGGAUUAAACUAGUGAUUCUUGUUGAUCUUCACUCAAUCAAGGCAAGAUCAAGAUGAGAAAUGAAGCUCUCUUCCUCUCUUUUUCCCUCUCUUUGGUCGGCCAACAUGGAAGGAAAAUGAAGGGAAUUUUGGUAUUAGGAAAGAUAAGAAUGGAAGAAAACUUUUGGUCAAAGGUAGCUUUGAUUGCCAACACUUGGCAAUCAUCUACUUUUCCUCUUUUUUUUUUUUUUUCUUUUUCCUCUCUUUCUUGGUCAAUAAUUUUGGUCAGCCCUAGGAUAAAAUUAGGGAAAGGAAAAUUAAAGAAAAAUAAGAAGAUUUGGGAAAGAAAGUCUUGGUCGAGUGGUGUCUUUGACAGGUAACAAAUGGCGCGAGUCGGUUCAAACCUAUUUCUUUGUUUCUCUUGUACUUUUGUUUUAACUUAUGAUUCACUAACUUACUUUUAGCACUUUUAAUCAUAUACUUCCUUUUACUUAAUACCUACUCUUAUCCACAAAAUUUAGUACACACACCUCACCGAACUUCCUUCCUUGUUGCAACCGUCUAUGGAUGGAUUUAGGGUUUGAGGUUGAUUUUUUCACAAAAUCUAGUUAGGAAUCAAGAUGAAACUAGUAGAAACUUUCUCUCUUUUCUUGCUUGAGGGAGUCGAGCAAAGGGAGGAAGAAAGAUGAUGGAUUUUUCUUCAAUUUUUCAAGAUAAGAGCAAGGACAAGUCUUUGGUUAAAGGGGCUCAGUCAAACUUUAAGAGAUGAGUGACAAAUGGCGGCAAAUGGUUCAAAUCUAUCUCUUUGUCUCUCUUGUGUUUCUAAUCUCCAAGGAUCUAUUUGGAUUCAGCAUUUUUUUGAAAAAUAAUUUUUUCACCUACAAUACUACAGUAAUACACAAACAAAAACAACUCCAAAAACAUCAUAUCUAAACAAUAUAUCAAAAACAACUCCAAAUAUACAAAAAAAUUCAAAAUUUUUGAUUUCAAAUUAUGCGAAUUUGGUUCAAAUUCGGCAAUGGAGUUUUUGAAAUCGAAAAUAGAAAUCAGAUUUUUUUAUUUCAAUUUCGUUUUAUAUUAUAUAUAUAUUAAUAUUUAUUUAUUUAUAUAUAUAAUAUUUUUUAUUUCAAUUUUAUUUUAUAAUAUGUAUAUUUCAAUUAUGUAUAUUAUAUUAUAUAUAUAAAUUACAUUAAUAUUAAUAUGUAUAUUUCAAUUAUGUAUAUUAUAUUAUAUAUAAAAAUUAUAUUAAUAUUAAUAUGUAUAUUUCAGUUAUGUAUAUUAAUAUGUAUAUUAUAUAUAUAAUAUCAAUUGAAAUAAAUAUAUAUAUUUAUAUAUAAAUAUAAAUAUUUUGUUUAAAAUAUAAUUAUAUAAAUAUAUUUAUUUCAAUUUUGUUUUAUAAUAUGUAUAUUAAUAUAGAUUAAUAUGUAUAUUUCAAUUAUGUAUAUUAAUAUGUAUAUUAUAUAUAUUAUAUCAAUUGAAAUAAAUAUUAUAUAUUUAUAUAUAAAUAUAAAUAUUUUAUUUAAAAUAUAGUUAUAUAUAUUUAUAUUUAUAUUUAUAUUUAUAUAAAUAUAUUUAUUUCAAUUUUGUUUUAUAAUAUGUAUAUUAAUAUAUAUUAAUAUGUAUAUUAUAUUUCAAUUAUAUAUAUAAAUUAUAUUAAUAUUAAUAGGUAUAUUUCUAUUAUGUAUAUUAUAUCAAUUGAAAUAAAUAUAUAUUUAUAUAUAAAUAUUAAUUUUGUUUUAAAGAUAUGUUUAAAAUAUGCCUUAUACUUUGCAAAAAUCUUAGCAGUCCAAAAUUACCUCAAAGAUCUAGCACUCAACCCAACAGAAGCAUCAAACAGAACCUAAAGAUAUUUUCGAGUUAUCAUAUUAACCCCAGAAAAAGUUGUCCAGAAAUAGCAGAACAUCCCUGUAGACACACUAAAUUAAACACCCAUUGUAUAUACACUCUGGACUACUUCAUUUUUAAAGCCUCUAUUAUUAUGCAUAGAUACAAUAGACCUCCUAGACUUAAUGUCAAUGGACAAAGACUUGUUUUAACCCCACAACUUCUCAUGGAUUAUGGAUUUAUUGAAAAUAUUUAUUUCAUAAGACUAGAUGAUACUUUCAGGAUGGGGACACAUUUGGCAUAUUUUGUAAGAAGAAUGUUAGAUUAUGGUGAUUGGGUAAAAGUCCAGAUCAGAUCAGCACCAUCAGAAUGGAUCGGGCUAUUUGAUUUUGAACCCACAAUACACAGAAUCAAAAUAUUAGUUAGCAAUAUAUGACCAAUUUUUGAAGGAAUAAUCCCUGCAAAUCAAAUUGUAGAAUGUCCAGCAUCUUUAGAAGAACAGCUCAGACAGAAGAAAGCAGUACAAUUGGCGUACAGACAUUUUAAGGCAGACUGGAGAGAUUUGAGACUUGUUUCUGAGAGCAAAUUUCAAAAAAUUUAUACUCCAUACAACUUUAAUUUGGAAAAAGAUUUUACAAUCCAGACUACUUACCCAGAAUUUUUUCAAGAACACUUGGAAGAUUAUAUGGGUGAAGACAGAAGAAAUAUGGAUAUAGAACCAUUAGUCAUAGCACCAGGAGCAGAAGAACAAGAUAUGAAAGACUUUUGGGAUACAACUCAUUAUUACAACAGCAUGACCCCAGAAGAAAUCCAUAACAUCGAAAACAUGAUGGAAGGCUAAAACACUAAGUCUUGUCGGCCAUUCCUCAGUAGAAGACAACCAGCAGGAAAAGAGUACUUUCCGGAUUUAAAAACUUUGAAAUCCGAAAGCUGUACAUAAUAAUGACAGCUGAUUAGAAAGAAAGUUUUUUAGGUCAUUUGUCGGCCACAUUCUUUUAGAAAAAGUCCGGAUUCCAAACUAAUUGAAAUCCGAAGGUCACAUUUUAGAAAAAGUCCGGAUUCCAAACUAGUUGAAAUCCAAACAGUUUUUUCUUUAUAUACCUCAAGAGUGCUCAUUCAUCGAAUAGUAUGAAACCUUGUGAGCAACCUGAGCAUAAGGCAUACUUGUAAAGUAUAACCUCUCUAAUCUCUCUCAAGUACCAAGUACUCAUAACCAUAUGCAUAUUUUAAAAGCUGACAUUUGCUUGUGAAUACAAUACCCUGUAUGAAUUACUAUAAUUUCACUAGUACACCAUAACAAGCAUACGACGUAGCUUUAAGAGAACUUAAAACACCUAAUACUUAUCAUUUUUUCAGUAAUAUAUUAGAAACCUUAGAAACUAUAGAUCAGUGUAAAGCAUAUUUAAUAAUUUUAGAAAAGUUAGUCAUCACCACCCUUCCUCAUUUAUUAGAAAUAUUAGACAAGCUAAAAUAGAUUUAGUAUACAAUAGAAUCCAAAACCUAAACAUAGAAAAAGAAAUCCAAGAAAGUAUAUCUGAACAAGCAAGAUCUUCUAAAACAAAGUGGUUCAUUUAAUUGAUUUCUAAAUUUUUGGAUUAAAACAAAGUGGUUCAUUUAAUUGAUUUUUAAAUUUUUGGAUUUUAAAUUUUUGGUUCAUUUAAAAAUUUGGUAGAGGUUAUACCUUCCUUUUAUUGCAUCGUCUUAUUAUCCUUCUGAUGCAAUGAGAGUGGGAAUCCUAUUCUCCUAAGAGAUUUGCCUCGCCCGAUCUUCCUUGUAGCCUUCAACGCCUUCCUGGCAACACGGCUCUAGUGGUACUACACGGUCUUUUGGUCUUUUUAAGGCUCUUAGUCACAGGGUAUCUCUCUCAAAGUUUCCGGUAAGACUGCAAUCUAGGGUUGGCUGCUACUAACCUCUACUCUCUGUUUCCCUUACCUCCUUCUAAGUAAUUGGUUUUGGAUAUGGUUGGUUUUGGAUGAACUGAGAUAUCUAUUGAAUGCAAAAAUUUACAGGUAGAAUUUACAAGUAUGCCUUAUACUCAGGUUGCUCACAAGGUUUCAUCCUGUUCGAUGAAUGAGCACUCUUGAGGUAUAUAUAGAAAAAACUGUUCGGAUUUCAACUAGUUUGGAAUCCGGACUUUUUCUAAAAUGUGGCCUUCGGAUUUCAAUUAGUUUGGAAUCCGGACUUUUUCUAAAAGAAUGUGGCCGACAAAUGACCUAAAAAACUUUCUUUCUAAUCAGCUGUCAUUAUUAUGUACAGCUUUCGGAUUUUAAAGUUUUUAAAUCCGGAAAGUACUCUUUUCCAGCUGGUUGUCUUCUACUGAGGAAUGGCCGACAAGACUUAGUGUUUUAGCCUUCCAUCAUGUUUUCGAUGUUAUGGAUUUCUUCUGGGGUCAUGCUGUUGUAAUAAUGAGUUGUAUCCCAAAAGUCUUUCAUAUCUUGUUUUUCUGCUCCUGGUGCUAUGACUAAUGGUUCUAUAUCCAUAUUUCUUCUGUCUUCACCCAUAUAAUCUUCCAAGUGUUCUUGAAAAAAUUCUGGGUAAGUAGUCUAGAUUGUAAAAUCUUUUUCCAAAUUAAAGUUGUAUGGAGUAUAAUUUUUUUGAAUUUUGCUCUCAGAAACAAGUCUCAAAUCUCUCCAGCCUGCCUUAAAAUGUCUGUACGCCAAUUGUACUGCUUUCUUCUGUCUGAGCUGUUCUUCUAAAGAUGCUGGACAUUCUACAAUUUGAUUUGCUGGGAUUGUUCCUUCAAAAAUUGGUCGUAUAUUGCUAACUGAUAUUUUGAUUCUGUGUAUUGUGGGUUCAAAAUCAAAUAAUCCGAGCCAUUCUAAUAGUGCUGAUCUGAUCUGGACUUUUACCCAAUCACCAUAAUCUAACAUUCUUCUUACAAAAUAUGGCAAAUGUGUCCCCAUCCUGAAAGUAUCGUCUGAUCUUAUGAAAUAAAUAUUUUCAAUAAAUCCAUAAUCCAUGAGAAGUUGUGGGGUUAAAACAAGUCUUUCUCCAUUGACGUUAAGUCUAGGAGGUUUGUUGUAUCUAUGCAUAAUAAUAGAGGCUUUAAAAAUGAAGUAGUCCAGAGUGUAUAUACAAUGGGUAUUUAAUUUAGUGUGUCCACAGGGAUGUUCUGCUAUUUCUGGACAACUUUUUCUGGGGUUAAUAUGAUAACUGGAAGAUAUCCUUAGGUUUCUGUUUGAUGCUUCUGUUGGGUUGAGUGCUAGAUCUUUGAGGUAAUUUUGGACUGCUAAGAUUUUUGCAAAGUGUUGUUUUUGAACUUUCUGGCUAAUGAUUUCUAUAAUGCGUAAGGGAAAUGGUUCUAACAUAUGAUGUGGUUUAAAAAAUAUUCUGGGCUUUAUAUAAUCAAAAGGUCUUUCACUAUUGGGCUUUUCUUUUAUGAAUAUUUCUUUUACUGGGCCGGACGAAGAACUGGCCAGUUGUGAUACUGUUUGAGAUGGUCUUCCUUGAAGUUCUCCAAUUUCUGAGAUUUGUGUAAGAAUAGUGUCACUUUGUGACCAUGAAAUCUUACACAUUUCUUUAAACUGCCCUGUUAAGGAUUUAACCUUCUCUUUAAGAACUGGUUUCUUCUUCAAAAUUUCUACAUUUAAAAUUUAAACUUCUAAUAGCUUCUUCCAUUGUUUUACAAUGUCUGCAAAAUUCUAUUCUGUUUAUGUUGUCUCUUUCUAUUGCAUGCUGAUAACUUCUACUACUACUACUAUUAUCUGUUUGUAUUGGCACCCUCAUACUAUCCAUACUAGCUUUAGGAUCUAUGUAGAUCCUACUAACUAAUAUGUUUAAGAAUUAAAUAUGUUUAGAUAAUAUUGUUUCUUAUAUCCUAUCUUUUUUGGUUUAAAAUAUUUUUUCUUUUUUCUGUAUUCUUUGUUUUUUUUCUCCAUAUCUUUGUGGUGUAUAUAUUUCUGAACAAAAACUAUAUUCUCCUUUUAAUUGUUUUUGAAUUUUGAUAAACGUACAUUCUUCUACUAAUUUUUCUAUAAUAUACCUAAUGGCCGUUGAUACAUUUUUUUAGAGUAGGGUCAAAUAUUACAGUUUUAUACUGAGUAUAUAUUUUAUUUCCUAAAUCAUCUGGUAAUUUUGUAAAUAAUUUUUCUAUUAUUCCUUCAUCAUAGAAACAUCCUGCUAUGCAUGAAUAAUAUAGAUAAUCCUGUAGGAAAGGUUUAAUGUAUUUUCAAUUUCUAAUUGAUAAUUGUUCUAGCUUUCUGAUUGAUUCUAUUUGUGCCAUUGUUCCUCCUCUAUUUGGGCUUUGUGCUAAAAGUAUUUCUUGUACUCUAUUAACAAAAUUCAUUGGAUUUAGCCCAUGUGCCAUAUCUUGUUGUAAUCUAUCUGGAAAUUUUUGUUUAAAGGCUUCCCAUGCUGCUGAUGCUACUCCUCCUAAAUGUGUUUCUAAAUAAGCAUACAUUUCAUUCACAUUAUGUUCAAAACCUUUUUGUAUAUAAUUUCUAACUACUUUUGCUUUCCAAUCUCCUAUUACAUCAUCUAUAAGUUGAGGGUCAUAAGAUGUUAACAUUAGAGUUUUACCUUUAUCUACCGUGUUAGCUUUUACUAUUUCUUCUAAUGGUUUUCUUUUUCCUUUAGAUUUAUAAGUUUCUACCGGUUCCCUAUAUUCAUUGUACAUUAAUCUAGGUAUUUGUCCUGGAUCAUAUCUUCCUAGGCUUCCUUCUGGUCUAUUGGUACUACGAGAUGGUUGUUGGAAUUGUUUUUGUUGGUUUUGGUUACUACUUUCUGUUUCCAUCAAAUCUUUAUAUGAUCCUAUACUAAUAGUGUCUUCUUCUAUUAGUUCUUUUUCUAUUCUUACCCUUAUAUUUCCUAAAUUAUCAUAAUAUAUUUCUUCAUUUAUUUCUAUUUGUCCGUCCAUUUCUAAUUUUCUUUCUAAUGCAAAUAAUGUUUUAUUAUCUAAGACCAUAUUUAAUUCUUUAGGAUAUAUUAUUCUAUUUUCAUUUUCUAUUUCAAAUUCUACUAACUUUUGUUCUUCUAUAGUAAACUCCAUAAGAUCCUGUUCUAUUUUUUCUUCUUCUAUUUCAUUAUCACUCUUAUAAUUUCCUAUAUUUGUUUGUUCAUAAUUAUGAAAUCUAAUACUAGUUCCUCCUUCUCUAUUUUCAUACAUUAUAUUAUCUUUAGGUACUAUAGGUGUCCUUCUUUCUAUAAAUUUACUAAGGUUCGAUUCUUCUCCUGCUAAUAUAGUUGGGUCUAUUUCUAUUGGUUUUAUUAAUUGUAUUCCUUUACUGUGCAUUGCUUCUAUUAUUGAUUCUACAUUAAUCCUAUAAUUAGUGCUACUCCCUGUAGUAGUUCUUCCUAUAAAUCCUAUAUUUAUCAUUAUAUUAUUUCCUACAAAUUCUCCGUAUCCUUUAGUUGUAUUGCUACUUCUAUUUUAUUUAAAUCUUCUACGAUUAAUUGAAAAUCUGGUGUACAGUAAAAUAUUCCCCUGUUAUUUGUCAUAUCUACUUCUAUGGUUGCUAUUAAUGCUUUCUUAACAUUAUUCCAUCCUUUAUCUAAUAAUGUUAUUAAUACUUUAGUUCCUAAUCCUGGUCUAGUUAAUCCUUUUAAUCCUAUUACUAUUAACCCUAAAUGCCGAGUUCAAUGAUUCAACUUUCAAAAAACUAGCAUUCUCUCCUCAUUUCUCUCUCUUUCUGCAAAUAUUUAUUAGGGUUUGUAAUUCUUGCAUGGCUGCCCUUCAGCCAUCGGCUGAGGGGCAAGGAUCUCCUACAGGAAAAAAAACUUUCUCCCAACUUUUCUCACAGCCUUCAACAUCUCCUAUCCAAAUUCGACAGGCAACUGUUUACAAAGGUGAAGCUGCGGUCAUCUUCUCGAGAGCAGAUGUGGAAAAACUAGCAGUGCCGUUUCGAUGGGCUUUGGUUGGAAAAUUUUCUCAUGGGAGACCUUCGUUGGAGGAUAUUCGCAAGUUCUUUGCUUCUUUAAAUCUAAAAGACCACAUCUCCAUUGGAUUGAUGGAUUAUAGACAUGUCCUGAUUAAGUGCUCUGCUGAAGUAGAUUUUAACAGGAUUAGGACAAGAGGGAUUUGGCAAUUGGGCAAUUAUCCGAUGCGGGUAUUUCGCUGGACCAGGGAGUUUCAUGUGCAAAGAGAGUCAUCUCUGGUUCCGAUUUGGGUGGAGCUUCCAAAUUUACCCAUUCAUUAUUUCGAUAAACACUCUUUGUUCUCCAUAUUAUCUCCAGUAGGAAGACCAUUGUUCCUGGAUUCGGCAACGGCUGCUGGGACACGUCCUAGUGUGGCCAGGGUGUGCGUGGAGAUCGAUGUAGCGAAGAUUGUUGUGCCAAGGAUAUUGGUAGCUGUUGAAGGAGAAUCAGGAUUUUGGCAAAAAAUUGUUCCAGACAACAUCCCGCCAUAUUGUUCAUCUUGCUGGAGAUUGGGUCAUUCGUCUAGCAACUGCAAGAAUAACGUUUCCAAGGGAGAACUUCAAUACCACAAUCAUCAAACCAACCGGCUGCAGCAAGGUCCUAAGAUACUUGGGGACAAUCAGUAUGGGUUAGUUAUUACACCUACGGGCAACCCAAAAGCUGAAGGGAAAUCAACAAUGGAGGUUACGACAUCGACUGAAGAUGCGCGACCUGGUGCUGUUGCAGUCCAAGGAGCUUCCACAUCUGAAAUGGAGAAAUCUGUUGGACCUGAUCGGAUAGCUGAGAAACAGAAUACAACUCCUCCACAAGAUGAUAAGCUCAACUGCAUUACUGCCCAAGCUCAAGCUGCCGAAGCUUCCGCUGCUGAUGCAAAUGGACAGUCGGUGGUUGAUGAUGACAGGGAGGGACCAUUGCACAACGUUCAAACGACAAUUGCAGGCCAAGACCAUGCACAUAAUUGUGAAGGGUCCCAUAAUCUAGUGGAGCAAAUCUUGGGAGAUGUUCAACAACAAAUGGCCGACACUACCACAUUGAUUAAUCAUAAUGCCGACAAUCAUAGUUGGAACAAAGGUGAAGGGUCCCAACCUGUUGAGGAGAAGCACUUGGGAGGUGAACAUCUUCAACAGUCCGACACCACUGAGCUUGAAACUCUUUAUGUCGACUUGUGUGGGGUCGAGGAGGAAGAUUCCAAAUCCGAUGCGGUUGAUGAAGCAGCUUUGCCAACUACAGCAGGGAAUUUAUCUCCAAGAUUAGUUGAAACAAGUGAGAGGUCAGUGGAGCCAUCAAUUAACACUUUAAACAUUGACCAAUCUGUAGCUAUGGAGAGGGAUUGCCGACAAGAAAAGGUUAAAGGUGUGCGAGCUUACUUCCCAUCCGACAGACAGCUACGUUCGACAACAUCAUCCCAUAACUCAUUCCAGGUUUUUUCUCAUGAUUAGUGGAAUAUUUUGGAAUAUUAGAGGGGUAGCUAAGGCCCCUAAUCUACGAAGAUUGAUUAAAUUAGUUCGUACUCACCAUGUUCAGUUUGUCGUGAUUUGUGAACCAAAGUUAGACGAGUCCAAAAUUGAGUCCAUUCGUCUACGAUUAUUAUUUGAUCAUACCUUUGUUAAUAACUCGGGUGAUAUUUGGGUAUUCUAUAGUAGUCCUUUUAUGUGUUCCAUUGUGGGUAGAUCGGAGCAGCAUAUUUCUAUACAUGUCCAAAGCCAAUUGCUUUCUUCUCCAAUCGUCAUGUCUUUUGUUCAUGCUAAAUGCUCAGUGCAGGAGCGCCGUGUCUUAUGGUAUACCUUAUUAAAUGAUAAGCCAAUUUCUCUUCCUUGGUGCAUUGGGGGUGAUUUUAAUGUUAUAUUAGCACCUCAUGAAAAACGAGGGGGACGUCCAUUUGCUAUAGCGGAGGGGAUGGAAUUCAUGUCUUUUAUGGAAGAGGCCAGAGUUUUUGACGUAGGAUUUUCAGGAGCUAGCUUCACAUGGUCUAACAAUCGGAGAGGAAGAGCUCGGGUUUCAAAGAGGUUGGAUAGGUUUUUAGUCAAUGGGGCUUGUUUGGAUCUCUCAAACGCAAUUUCUGUGCUUCACCUGGCAAGACAUCCUUCAGAUCAUGCACCGUUGAAAAUUUCAUUUAAGGAGAGAUCAGAUCAUACGCCACGGCCUUUCAGAUUUUUGAACGUCUGGACAACCAAAUCUGAACUCUUGGAGGUAAUUCGAUAUGCUUGGAAUCAAGAUGUGUCUGGUUCUCCAUUGCGUGUUUUGAGCUCUAAACUUUUGGCAACGAGGAGGGCUAUUCAAACUUGGAACAAGCAACACUUUGGGAAUGUAUUUGAUGCUGUUCGUUCUGCGGAAAUGGGGGUUCAACGCGCAGAGGAAGCUAUGGAUCAAUAUGCAUCGGAGGAAUGUCAGGUUGAGCUUAGCAAGGCUCAGGCGGAGUUGCGACAUGCAUUGUCAAUUGAAGAACAAUUUUGGAGCCAAAAAGCCAGGGUCAAAUGGCUUAAACACGGAGAUCGUAAUUCAAGGUAUUUUCAUGCGGUAGUAAGACAGAGACGGGCUCAAGGAAUGAUUCACCGCAUCAAAAAGUCAAACGGUGUUUGGGUGGACAAGAAUGAUGAUAUAGCAACUGAGGCAAUAACAUAUUUUUCUGACCUAUUCACGUGUUCUUUAGAGUCAUCUUCCGAUUUGCGGUACCUAAUUCCAUCCAUAAUCUCGGAAGAGGACAAUGAAAAAUUGGAAGAGGUUCCUUCGAUUGAAGAAGUCUAUCGAGUCGUGAGAUCAAUGGAUGGGGACAGUGCUGCUGGCCCAGAUGGUUUCACAGGUAAAUUUUUUACAUUUGCCUGGGAAGUUGUCGCCCAAGAUGUAUAUAAUGCAAUACUCAGUUUUUUCUGUGGGGCAGAGUUGCCUCGAUUCAUCACAUCUACCUCCAUUGUGUUAAUUCCGAAGAUGCCAAAUCCUCAGGAUUUUUCUCAAUAUAGGCCCAUCAGUCUGUGUAACUUCUUCAACAAAUUAUUAUCCAGGAUCUUAGCUGAUAGAAUUGCUUAUGUUCUGCCCAAAAUUAUUUCACCCCAGCAGACAGGCUUUGUGAAGGGGCGCAAUAUAACAGAUAACUUUCUGCUAGCUCAGGAGAUAGUUUCGGGUAUUGGGAAAAAGAAUAGAGGAGGCAAUGUGGUAAUGAAGCUUGACAUGUCUAAGGCUUAUGACCGGGUGGCAUGGGAUCAUAUUAUUGAUGUUCUCAGGAGAUUUGGCUUCGGAGAAAUAUUUAUUGAUUUAGUAUGGCGAUUGAUCUCUAAUGUCUGGUUUUCGGUCAUUUUAAAUGGGGCAUCUCAUGGUUUUUUUAAAUCUACGAGAGGCCUCCGUCAGGGUGAUCCUUUAUCGCCUGCUUUAUUCAUUAUAGGGGCUGAGGUGUUAUCUAGAGGACUGAAUAACCUUGCCAUGCAAUCGGGUUUUGUGGGAUUCAAAGUCCCGUAUGCAUGUCCUUCUAUAACUCAUUUGGCGUUUGCGGAUGAUGUUCUCAUAUUUGCAAACGGAUCCUCUUAUUCUCUAAAGGUUAUCAUGCAGGUGCUAGAGGCUUAUCAAAGGUGUUCGGGUCAGCUAAUAAAUGUGCUAAAAACUUGUUACCUGGUUCAUCCAUCUUUACCACCGGCAAGACGAAGGGUGAUUGAACGUAUCACCAAGUUUACCUGGCAACCAUUUCCAAUUCGGUAUUUGGGUUGCCCCCUUUACUUUGGGAGAUGCAAAUCAUCAUAUUUUGGAGAAGCGUGUCAGUCUAUUCUAGGGAGAAUUAUAUCAUUGAAAUCAAGGAUGCUUUCCUUUGGAGGUAAGAUAGUUCUAAUCAAACAUGUCUUGGCAUCGAUGCCAGUACAUCUGAUGUCGGCUGCGGUUAUCCCGAGUAAGGUAUUUAGAACUAUAGAAAAGGCUUUCUCGACCUUCAUAUGGAGCUCUUCACCCGAGGAGUCGAAAUUUCACUGGAUACGUUGGUCCCAUAUGUGCUAUCCGAUAGAUGAGGGAGGAGUUGGAUUUCGGAAGCUACAAGACAUCUAUACAGCUUUCUUAUUCAAACUUUGGUGGAAUUUUAGAAAGGGUUUGUCAUUGUGGGCUGAAUUUAUGAAAGCAAAAUACUGUAGACACCUUCAUCCUUGUCAGGUAGAAAUCAAGGCAAUGGACUCCGCACUCUGGCGCAGGAUGGUCAAUGUGAGUCGACAAGUGGAAUUCUCUACGCUAUGGAUUGUAAAAGACGGCGCUUGUCAUUUUUGGUACGACAAUUGGUUGGGGGGUGGUGCUUUGUUCCACCAAGCGACCGUUGUCCCACAUUUGUCUUUUGCUAAUUUCAUCAUCAAUGGACACUGGGAUGUGAAUUUGUUAUAUCAGAUAAUGCCGAGGGAAAUGGUGCCCUCUAUUUUAGAGCACCCGAUUCCAGAAGAAGGGGGUGAAUCUGAAGUCAUUUGGACGCUCACAACAUCUGGAAACUUCUCUAUAGCUUCGGCAUUUCGGGAUAUUAGGCAGGCCCGCAACAAGUCUAUGGUCUUUAAUACAAUUUGGCAUUCUCAGCUCCCUUUCAAAGAUUCAUUCUUCAUGUUACGAUUGUUGCUGGGGAGACUGCCGGUUCCAGAUCGGUUAUGUAAACUUGGUUUACAUUUACCCUCAAAGUGUUUUUGCUGUGCUUCGGCAUCUGAGGAAUCAAUUGAACAUUUAUUUUCUAAUGGCCAUAUAGGGUCGACAGUUUGGCACUAUUUUGGAGCUUCAUGUGGUUUGUCCUUUCCAGGGUCAUCUUUGAGGCCCCGUAUAGUGGGUUGGUGGCUCAGCUCAUAUGAUUCUGAAAUACAACGAUUUAUUGGGCACAUUCUACCCAGCAUUGUCUGUUGGCAGAUUUGGAAAGCAAGGAAUAAAGCAAUGUUUGAGGAUGUUCAGAUGAGGCCGCUUGCCAUUUGUCGUGCCAUUUUCUCGGAAAUCCAGACCAUGGUGGGAAUUCAUUUCAAACAAGUGUUCAGAGUACAGUCAUUUCAUCAUUUGUAUGAUUGGUCGUAUUCUUCUCAUAUUGAGGUUACAUACAAACUUGUUCGUUGGGAAGCAAAGGAAUCCGAUCGGUUCAUAUUAAAUACGGAUGGCUGUUCUAAGGGCAAUCCAGGAGUGAGUGGAGGCGGUGGGGUUCUUCGGGAUUCAAAUGGCAUACCUUUGAUUGGCUUUUCGGCAUAUCUUGGGGAAACUACAAGUCUAUGUGCAGAGGUUCGGGCACUCCUUAUUGGUCUUCAAACUUGUGUACAUAGGGGUUUUCAAAAUCUCUAUGUUCAAUCGGAUUCUUUAUUAUUAGUUGGAAUUCUUCAGAAUCGCAUUCAAUGCCCCUGGAAGAUUCGACGAGAGAUUAGGCAGAUUUGGCAGUUGGUGAAAGAUCCUGAUCGUUUUUCGCAUUGCUAUAGGGAAGCUAACAAAGUUGCUGAUGUGCUGUCCAAUGUGGGCGUAUUUCAUCCAGAGCAUCAAGUCAAGCUUUACGAGGCCUUUAAUUCGUUCCCAACUAUGGCUCGUGGGGCCAUUCGACUUGAUAGAUUAGGAAUGCCUUCAAUUCGGAAAAGUAAGCGUAUGAAGGGCUGAGAACAAAGGACAACUGGAGCUAAUAUGCGGUUGAAUGAGACAUGGAGGUUUUGUGUUUGAUUUAUUACCUUUUCAGUCGAUUGCUGUACUUCGAAUUGGUCUUUCUCAGUGUGUAAAAUUUGCUCCUAUCUAUAAAAUAAAAUAAUAUUUAAAAAAAAAAAACCCUAAAUGCAUAUAAUUAUGGUUUCUUUUGAUUUGUCUAAUACUUUCUCGGGUUACUAAUUUUAAAGUUUUAGCUUGUGUAGUUACUCUGACUGUUUCUUCUCUAUUAGUUCUAAAUAACCCAGUCCUAUUCCUUAUCCAUCCUGUUCUAUAUAAAGUUUGUGGUGCUAAUAAAUUUAUUUGUUGAUUUCUACAUAUUUCUAGAUCAAUAUUUACGUCUACUAGUUCUUCAAGAUGUAAAUUUCUACUAUUAGUACUUCUGAUUCUAUCUAAUAUAAAAAUAAUUAUAUUAAUAUGUAUAUUAUAUUUUAAUUAAAUAUAUAAAUUAUAUUAAUAGUAAUAUAUUUUAAACAAAAUAUUAAUAUUUAUGAUAUGUAUAUUAUAAUAUGUAUAUUAUAGCAUUUUAUUUAUAAAUAUUUAUAUAAUAAAUCUACUAGUUCUUCUAGAUGUAAAUUUCUACUAUUAGUACUUAUGAUUCUAUCUAAUAUAAAAAUAAUUAUAUUAAUAUGUAUAUUAAAUUUCAAUUAUAUAUAUAAAUUAUAUUAAUAUUAAUAUGUAUAUUAUAUAUAUUAUAUCAAUUGAAAUAAAUAUAUAUUUAUAUAUAUAAAUAUUAAUAUUUUGUUUAAAUCAUGUUUAUAUAUAUUUAUAAAUAUAUUUAUAAUAUACAUAUUAUAUAUUUAUUUGUUUAUAAUAUACAUAUUGUAACUGUUGUGCCAUCUUUUGAAAUAUCAAGAACAUUAUUAAAUAGGCGAGAUAAAAAUCUGCUAAAUUAUUAUUUUUACCUUUAAUGUGUUCAAAAACUACUUUGUACCCAUUACCUAUAAUGCUAUCUACAAAAUUUAACCAUCUUCUUGUAGAACUUCUUUUUUCAUUAUGUUUUUCAAAAAACUUUUUUAUUGCUUCACAGUAUGUUCUAAUAGUGAUUUCUGAAUUGCUAAGAAUAAAGAGUCUAAAAUUAUCUAGACUAUAUUUAAUUGCCAACAAUUCAUUAUCUAUGUUACUUCUAUUACCUUUUUCUUUAUAUUUGCCACUGGCAUAUCUACAAAUUUGUUUACUAUUCUUACUACUAUAUUUAUUGAGUUUUGCAAAAAGAACUGCUCCCCAUCCUAUACUACUCCCGUCACAUUCUAUUAUUAAAUAAUUUGUAUCUAAAGGUAAUCUUAAAUCUGUUAGUUUAUUUAUUGUUUGUUUAAUUUCCCUAACUAAUUUUAUGUCUUCCUUGUUAAAAAACUUUUGUUCUUUUAAAGAUAUUUUGUUAUAUAAUGGUCCUACUAAAUUGUUUAAAUUCUUAAUAAAAGGUCUUGCAUAAUUUAAUAAUCCUAAAAAUUGUUGUAGUUUCUUUGUUUCUUCUAUUUUAUCUGGAAAUUCUAAUACUUUUUUACUAAUAUGUGGUUUAAUUUUAUUUUUCCUUGUACUAUUUCUAUUCCUAAAAAUUAUAUAUUUUUUCUAAAAAAAUGUGCCUUUUUAUUACUAAUUAUUAUUCCAUAUUUAAUAAAUUCUGCAAAGACUAAUUUUAAGUGUCCUAUAUGUUCCUCUUUAUUUCUGGAGAAGACUAAAAUAUCGUCUAUAUAUAUUAUGACAAAAUCUUUAUAUUUAUUAAAAAUAUUAUCCAUUUUUUUUUGAAAUAUUGUCGGUGCAUUUUUUAAUCCAAAGGGCAUUACUAACCAUUCAAAAUGUCCUAAAGGACAUGUAAAGGCUGUCCAUUCUAUACUAUCUAUAUUCAUUCUGACUUGCCAAAAUCCUGAUUUACAAUCGAAUUUACUAAAAAUAUAUCGAUAUUGAAUUCUAUUUAUUAGUUCAUUUUUAGCUGGUAUGUCAUAACUAUCUUCUUUAGUAUUAUCAUUUAGUCUUUUAUAAUUAAUUACCAUUCUACUUUUUCACCUGACUACUUCACUAUAUUUUCUAAUUAUGAAUGCUGCACUUCUAUGUGGACUGGUACUUCUUCUGAUUAUUUUUAGCUCAUUUAGAUCUCCUAUAUGCAUUUCAAAUUCUUUAAUGUCUUCAUUACUAGCUUCUAUUUUUGAUGUACUUAUUUUUAGAUUUGGAUUUAAAAUUUCUAAUUUACAUUCUGUUUUAUCUCUGUCCCAAUAAAUAGUUGGAUUUUCUCCAAAAAUUUCUAAUUUUUCUAGCUUGCUUAUUAAUUGAUCUAUAUCUGUAUGUCCUGUUUCUAACAUGUUAUAAAUUUUUUCAUUUUCUAAGAGAUCUAAACUAAUUUCUAUUUCAUUAAAUUCUUCUAUUUUUUCUAUAGUUUCUAUGUGAUUAUAUUCUUCUAUCUUUUCUAUAGUUUCUAUGUGAUUACAUUUGCAAUUUUUUGUAUUACAGUCUUUUUCUGUAUUUUUAUUGUUUCUUAGGAUUCCUAAUGCUUUUUUCUUUUCUUUAUUUGAAAAACUAUUAGAGAAAUCCUUCUUUCGUACUUCUGAUGUAAUGAAUGUGUUAUAAGGUAAAGCAUGGUCUCUUAAAAAUGUUAAUCCUGUUCUUGUAAGAACCAUGCCAUGAUAUGAUUGUAAUAUGAAUGCUAACCCUAAAAUCAUUUGAUAUGGAAAUUUUCUAACAUAUAUUUCUUCUACUGGAUAAGAUGUUGUGCAAUGGUUAUUAUCAAUUUCAAAAAAUAGAAUACUAUUGUGAAUUGCAGUGUCAUAAGUAUAAGUACUACCAUCAAUUUGUCUUGCUAUUCUAAUAUUAUAUGCUUUUUCAUAAUACUUUUCUGGUAUUAGGUCUUGUUGAAUUAUUAUAUAACUAGGUCCUGUAUCUACUAUUGCUAAUACUUCUGUAUCAAAAUUUCCUAUUAUUAUUCUUGUUCUUAUUUCUAUGGAAGUUAUUGUUGGCAUUGCUUGUUGUAUUAAUUCAUAAUUAUGUUUUAUUAAUUCUGUUUCUAGGAGAAUUUCUAUAUCUAUAUUUUCUAUAGAUAUUUCUUUUUCUAUUGAUUUUCCUUUAUCUAAUUUUUCUAUUUUUUUUGUUCUAAUUGUUCUACCUUAUUUUCUAAAUUUCUUAUUCUUCUUUCUAAAUAAUGUUCCAAAGACAUAGUUUCUUCAACUUUAUCUUUUUUGAUUGGUUCUAUUAACACAUAUGUUUGUGCCAAUUUGUCUAGACAAAAUUUAAUAUAACUAAUAUUGGAAUCUUAAUUCUAUUGCUGGAUAUUUAUUACAAUUAUAACAAGUUCUACUAUAGUUACCUUUUCUAUGUUCCCAUUUAUGAAUACAUUCUACUUCUACCAAAUCUAAGUCUUCUAAUUUUUUAAAAUCUCCUUUCAUUUCUUCUAAGUAUAUGUUAUCCAUGAUCAUUUUAUUUUCUGAUUUUUCUAGCAUUUCAUCUAUAAAUCCUGUAUCUUCUUGUUCUACGAAAUCUGUUAAAUCUAAAUCUUCUGAUAUUAUACCAUAAAUGCUUUCUAUUUCUAAUAUAUUAUCAUCUAUUUUUAUUAGAUCUUCUGAAAAUAAUUCUACUAAAUGAGCUUCUCUGUUAAAAGAAUUAUGUUUAUUUGGACAAUUGGUUGCUAAGUGAUUGGGUUGUUUGCAAAUAAAACAAGAUAACAUAUUUUCAUAAGUUCGUUCUAGUCUGUAUCUUCUAACAUGAUGUUCCUUUUUUUAGAAAUGGUUUUCUAGCCUUACUUUUUCUAAGAUAAUAUUGUUUUCUAGGAUAUUUUUUUUAUGUUUUUUAAAUUUUCUUUUUUCUUUAUCUCUUUCUCCAUACUUUUGUGGUGUGUAUAUUUCUGAACAAAGACUAUAUUUUCCUUUUAAUUGUCUUUGUAUUUUUAUAAAUGUGCAUUCUUCUACUAAUCUAUUCAUAAUAAAUUUGACUGCUGUGCUUACAUUUUUUAAUGUUGGUUCCAUAGGUGUUGCUUUAUAUAAAGUAUAUAUUUUUUUUCCUAAAUCAUCUGGUAAUUUUGCAAAUAAUUUUUCUAUAAUACCUUCAUCAUAAAAACAUCCUGCUAAACAGCUGUAAUAUAGGAAAUCUUGUAAAAAUGGUUUAAUAUAUUUCCAAUUUCUGAUUGAUAAUUGUUCUAAUUUUCUUAUCGAUUCUAUUUGCAUCAUAACUUCUCCUCUAUUUGGAAUUGUUGCUAAAAGAAUUUCUUCUAUUCUAUUAACAAAAUUCAUAGGAUUAACUCCAUGUGCCUGGUCUUGUUGUAAUCUAUCUGGAAAUUUUUGUUUAAAUGCUUUCCAUGCUAAUCUUGCUACUCCUCCUAAGAAUGUUUCUAAGUAGGUAUACAUUGCUGUUACACUAUGGUCAAAUCCUUUUUGUAUAUAAUUUCUAACUACUCUUACUUUCCAACUACCUAUUACAUCUUCUAUCAUUUGUGGGUCAUAAGAUGUUAACAUUAAAGUUUUUCCUUCAUCUACUGAAUUUUCUUUUAUUUCUAAUUCUAAUGGUCUUCUUUUACCUUUAGAAAUAUAUUUUUCUUCUGGUUCUCUGUAUUCAUUAUAAAUUAUUCUAGGUGGUUGUCCUGGUUCGUAUGUUCUAACAUUUCCUUCUUGGCUAGGGUCAGUCUGCAUAUCUGUUGGUUGAUUACUUCCACUAUUUUGUUGUUGUUGAUCUCUAUCCAUUAAUUCUCUAUAUGAUGUUAUACUAGCUGUUUCUAUAUUAUCUUCUAGGUUUUCUUCUGUUUUGACUCUAAUGUUUCCUAUGUCAUCAUAAUAUAAAAUUUCAUCUAAUACUAUUUGUCCCUCUGAUUUUAAUUUUCUUUCUAAAUCAAAUAAAUCUUUUUUGGUUAAAAUCAUAUUUAAUUCUGCUGGAUAAAUAAUUCUAUAUUCUAAUUCUACUUCUUCUUCUAUUAAAUUUAUUUCUAUAAGAUCUGAUUCUAUAUCAAAUUUAUCUAAUUCCUCAUUAUCUGUUCCUAAAGAUGUUGAUUCAUAAUUAUAAAAUCUUAGACUUGUUUUUCCUUGACUAUUUUUGUAUAUUAUGCUAUCCCUAGGUAUCAUUGGAUUAUUUUCUUCUAUGAAUUUGCUAAUUUCCCAUUCUUCUCCUGCCAAGUUUUCUGAACUAAUUUCUAUUGGUUUUAUUAAUUUUAUUCCUUUACUGGCCAUAGCUUCUACUAUUGGUUUAAUUUCGACCUUGUAUCUAGUCUUACUACUAUUUGUUAAUCUUCCUAUAAAUCCUGUACUAAUUGUUAAAUUAUCUCCUUGAAAAUUUUCAUACCCUUUAGUUUGUAUUCCUAUUUCUAAAUUUUUAAUAUCUUCUAAGGUUAUCAUAAAAUCUGGACUGCAAUAAAAUAUACCCCCGUUUUGAUUCAUAUCUACUUCAAUACUGGCUAUUAAUGCAUCUUCUACUUUUUUAUGUCUUUUAUCUAAUACUGCUAAAAGCACCUUUUUCCCUAAUCCUUUUCUUGUUAACCCUUUUAUUCCUAUAACUAUUAGUCCUAUAUGCAUAUAUGUAUAUUGUCUUCUGAUUUGAUUUAUGCUUUGCUGUGUUAUUAUUCUAAGAUUUACUAGAUUUAUUAAUGCACUUACUGGUUCUUCUCUAUUUUGUCUAAAUAAUCAUGUAUUACUUCUAAGAAAUCCUAUUGAGUAUAAAGUUCCGGGGUUUAAUAAACUUAUUUCAUUAUUUCUAUAUAUUUCUAAAUCUCUUUCUAUAUCCAUUGUUUCUUCUAAAUGCAUACUUCUAUUUCUUCUUAAUUGUCUUCCUAUAGUUAAUACACUAGUCUCUACUUGUGUACUUUCAUUAACCGUCCUACUGGGUCCUGUGAAUGAUCUUCUACUUGUCAUUUUAAAAUUUUUGUGGUUUAGUAUUUACUGAGAAUACAUUACUAAGAUGUGGCUUGCUUUCUUUCUUUGUUAUUGGUAGUCUUUUAAACUGAUCCGUAAUCUCUUCUAGGUCUUUUUCAAAUUCAUCUAUCUGCAAAACUCUAACUUUUUCUGUUACUGCAUCUAUUUUCUUAUGUAAUGAUACUAACAAAGCUAUUAUCACGUUAUUUUGUAAACCCCAAACCACAAAAAUUUUAAAAUGACAAGUAGAAUAUCAUUUACAGGACCCAGUAGAAUAGUUAAUGAAAAUACACAAAUAGGAACUAAUGUAUUAAACAUAGGAAGACAGUUAAGAAGAAAUAGGAGCAUACAUUUAGAAGAGGCAAUAGAUAUAGAAAGAGAUUUAGAAAUAUACAGAAAUAAUGAAAUAAAUUUAUUAAAUCUGAGAACUUUAUAUUCAGUAGGAUUUCUUAGAAGUAAUACAGGAUUAUUUAGACAAACUAGAGAAGAACCAGUAAGUGCAUUAACAAAUCCAGUAAAUCUAAGAAUAAUAACACAGCAAAGUAUAAAUCAAAUCAGAAGACAAUAUACAUAUAUGCAUAUAGGGUUAAUAGUUAUAGGAAUAAAGGGCUUAACAAGAAAAGGAUUAGGAAAAAAAGUAUUAUUAGCAAUAUUAGAUAAAAGACAUAAAACAGUAGAAGAUGCAUUAAUAGCCAGUAUAGAAGUAGAUAUGAACCAAAAUGAAAGAAUAUUUUAUUGUAGUCCAGAUUUUAUGGUAACCUUAGAAGAUAUUAAAAAUUUAGAAAUAGGCAUACAAACUAAAGGAUAUGAAAAUUUUCAAGGAGAUAAUUUAACAAUAAGCAUAGGAUUUAUAGGAAGAUUAACAAAUAGCAGUAAAACCAGAUACAAGGUAGAUAUCAAACCAAUAGUAGAGGCUAUGGCUAGUAAGGGAAUAAAAUUAAUAAAACCAAUAGAAGUAAGUUCAGAAAAUUUGGCAAGAGAAGAAUGGGAAAUUAGUAAAUUUAUAGAAGAAAAUAAUCCAAUCAUACCAAAAGAAAGUAUAAUAUAUAAAAAUAGUGAAGGAAAAACAAGUCUUAGGUUCUAUAAUUAUGAAUCAACAUCUUUAGGAACAGAAAAUAAAAAAGUAGAAAGAUCAGAUACAGAAUUAGAUCUAGUAGAAAUAAAUUUGAUAGAAGAAGAACUUGUAGAACUAGAACAUAAAAUUAUUUAUCCAGCAGAAUUAAAUAUGAUUUUAACAUAAAUAGAAUUAUUUGAUUUAGAAAGAAAAUUAGAAUCAAACGGACAAAUAGCUUUAGAUGAAAUUUUAUAUUAUGAUUAUAUAGGAAAUAUUAGAGUUAAAAAAGAAAAAGAUGAUAUUGAAACAGUUAGUAUAACAUCAUAUAGAGAAUUAAUGGAACAAAGCAGUCGAAGCAGCCAACCAACAAAUAUGCAAACUGACACUAGCCAAGAAGUGAAUGUUAGAACAUAUGAACCAGGACAACCACCUAGAAUAAUAUAUAAUGAAUAUAGAGAACCAGAAGAAAAAUAUAACCCUAGAGGAAAAAGAAGACCAUUAGAAUUAGAAAUAAAAGAAAAUUCAGUAGAUGAAGGAAAGACUUUAAUGUUCACAUCCUAUGACCCCCAAAUGAUAGAAGAUGUAAUAGGUAGCUGGAAAGUACGAGUAGUUAGGAAUUAUAUACAAAAAGGGUUUGAUCAUAAUGUAACAGAAAUGUAUACGUAUUUAGAAACAUUUCUAGGAGGAGUAGCAAGAGCAGCUUGGGAAGCAUUUAAACAAAAAUUUCUAGAUAGAUUACAACAAGACCAGGCGCAUGGAUUAAAUCCCAUGAAUUUUGUUAAUAGAGUAGAAGAAAUUCUUUUAGCAACAAAUCCAAAUAGAGGAGGAGUUCUGACACAAAUAGAAUCAAUAAAAAAAAUAGAAUAAUUAUCUAUUAGAAAUUGGAAAUAUAUUAAACCAUUUUUACAAGAUUUCUUAUAUCAUAGCUGUUUAGCAGGAUGUUUUUAUGAUGCAGGAAUUAUAGAAAAAUUAUUUGCUAAAUUACCAGACGAUCUAGGAAAGAAAAUAUAUACUUUAUAUAAAGCAACACCUAUGGAACCAACAUUAAAAAAUGUAAGUACAGCUGUAAGAUUCAUAAUUAAUAGGUUAGUACAGGAAUAUACAUUUAUUAAAAUACAAAAACAAUUAAAAGGAGAAUAUAGUUUUCGUUCAGAAAUAUAUACACCACAAAAAUAUGGAGAAAGAGAAAAAGAAAAAAGAAAAUAUAGAAAACCUUAUAAAAAUUAUAAAAAGUACCCAGAAAACAGUAUUAUCUUAGGAAGAGCAAAGCUAGAAAACCAUUUCUUAAAAAGGAACAUCAUGUUAGAAGAUAUAGACCAGAACGUACCUAUGGGAAUAGAUUAUCUUGUUUUAUUUGUAAACAACCUAAUCAUUUAGCAACUAAUUGCCCAAAUAAACAUAAUUCUUUUAACAGAGAAGCUCAUUUAGUAGAAUUAUUUUCAGAAGAUCUAAUAGAAAUGGAUGACAAUAUAUUAGAAACAGAAAGCAUUUAUAGUAUAGUAUCAGAGGACAUAGAUUUAACAGAUUUUAUAGAACAAGAAGAUACAGGAUUUAUAAAUGAAAUCUUAGAAAAAUCGGAAAAUAGAACUAUUAUGGAUAACAUAUACCUAGAAGAAAUAAAAUAAGAUUUUAAAAAAUUAGACAAUUUAGAUUUAGUAGAAGUAGAAUGUACCCAUAAAUGGGAACAUAGAAAAGGUAAUUAUAGUAAAGCUUGUUAUAAUUUUAAUAGAUACCCAGCAACAGAAUUAAGAUUCCAGUGUUAAUUAUGUUAUACAGAAGGAUGUAAAUUUUGCCUAGAUAAAUUAGCACAAAUAUACGUUUUAUUAGAGCCAGUUAAAAAGGAUAAAACUGAAAAUAUUGUGCCCUUAAAACAUUACCUAGAAAGAUGAAUAAGAAUUUUAGAAAAUCAAAUAGAACAAUUAGAGCAAAAAAUAGAAAAAUUUGAUAAAGGAAAAUCAAUAGAAAGGGAUGUAUAUAUAGAAAAUGUUGAUAUAGAAAUUUUUCCAGAAUUAAUAAGACAUAAUUAUGAUUUUGAAUUAUUACAAGCAGGAAUACCAACAGUAACUUCCAUUGAAAUAAAAACUAGAAUAAUAAUAGGAAAUUUUGAUACAGAAGUUUUAGCAAUAGUAGAUAUAGGAGCAAGUGAUAUAGUUAUCCAACAAGAACUAAUACCAGAAAAAUAUUAUGAAAAAGCAUAUAAUAUUAGAAUUGCAAGACAAAUGGAUGGUAGUACUUAUACCUAUGACACUGCAAUUCAUAAUAGUCUCUUAUUUUUUGAAAUAGAUAAUAAUCACCGCACACCACCUUAUCCAGUAGAAGAAAUAUAUGUUAGAAAUUUUCUUUAUCAAAUGAUUUUAGGACUAGCUUUUAUACUACAAUCAUAUCAUGGCAUGAUUAUUACAAGGACAGGGUUAACAUUCUUAAGAGACCAUACUUUACCUUAUAACACGUUCAUUACACCAGGAAUACGGAAAGAAAAUAAAAAUAUAGAAAAUCAUAAUUGUAAAUAUAAAAGAGCAAAAGAUUGCAAAUGUAACCACAUAGAAACUAUAGAAGAAAUAGAAGAAUUUAAUAAUAUAGAAACUAUAGAUAGCAUAGGAGAAGAUUUUAAUGAAAUAGAAAUAAGUUUAGACCUUUUACAAAAUGAGAAAAUCUAUAAUAUGUUAGAAACAGGACACACAGAUAUAGACCAAUUAAUAAGUAAGUUAGAAAAACUAGAAAUUUUUGGAGAAAACCCAACUAUUCAUUGGGAAAAAGAUAAAACAGAAUGUAAGUUAGAAAUUUUAAACCCAAAUUUAAAAAUUAGUACAACAAAAAUAGAAGCUAGUAAUGAAGACAUAAAAGAAUUUGAAAUGCAUAUAGGAGAUUUAAAUAAAUUAAAAAUAAUCAGAAGAAGUACCAGUCCACAUAGAAGUGCAGCAUUCAUAGUUAGAAAACAUAGUGAAAUAGUCAGAAAAAAAAGUAGAAUGGUAAUAAAUUAUAAAAGGUUAAAUGAUAAUACUAAAGAGGAUAGUUAUGACAUACCAGAUAAAAAUGAGCUAAUAAAUAGAAUUCAGUAUAGAUAUAUUUUUAACAAAUUUGAUUGUAAAUCAGGAUUUUGGCAAGUAAAAAUGUACACAGAUAGUAUAGAAUGGACAGGUUUUACAUGCUCUUUAGGACAUUUUGAAUGGUUAGUAAUGCCUUUCGGACUAAAAAAUGCACUGGCAAUAUUUCAAAGAAAAAUGGAUAAUAUUUUUAACAAAUAUAAAGAAUUCGUCAUAGUAUACAUAGAUGAUAUAUUAGUAUUUUAAAAAAAAUAAAGAAGAACAUGUUGGACACUAAAGUUAGUUUUCGCAGAAUUUAUUAGACAUGCAAUAAUAAUUAGUAAUAAAAAGGCACAAUUUUUUAGGAAAAAUAUAGAAUUUUUAGGAACAGAAAUAGGACAAGGAAAAAUAAAAUUACAACCACAUAUUUGUAAAAAGUUAUUAGAAUUUCCAGAUAAAAUAGAAGAAACAAAGAAAUUACAACAAUUUUUAGGACUACUAAACUAUGCCAGACCUUUUAUAAAAAAUUUAAAUAAUUUAGUUGCACCAUUAUACGACAAAACAUCUUUAAAAGGACAAAAAAUUUUUAAUAAAGAAGAUAUAAAAUCAGUCCAAGCAAUAAAACAAAUAGUAAGUAAACUAACAGAUUUAAAAUUACCUUUAGAUACAGAUUAUUUAAUAAUUGAAUGUGAUGGCAGUAGUAUAGGAUGGGGAGCAGUUUUUUUUGCGAAACCAAAUAAAUAUAGUAGCAAAAAUAGUGAACAAAUUUGUAGAUAUGCCAGUGGCAAAUAUAAGGAAAAAGGUAACAGAAGCAGCAUAGACAAUGAAUUGUUAACAGUAAAAUAUAGUUUAGACAACUUUAGACUUUUUAUACUUAACAAACCAGAAAUUACUAUUAGAACAGACUGCGAGGCAAUAAAAAAGUUUUUUGAUAAACACAAUGAAAAAAGAAGUUCUACUAGAAGAUGGUUAAAUUUUGUAGACAGUAUCAUAGGUAAUGGAUAUAAGGUUAAGUUCGAACAUAUUAAGGGUAAAGAUAAUAACUCAGCAGAUUUUUUAUCCCGUCAAUUUAACAAUUCUUUUGAUCUUUUAGCAGAUGGCACGACAGCUACCCAAAGUACAAAUUGGCCAAUGGGAAUUUAACAAGUAUCCUAAAGGAUCCAAUUUACAUUUUUUUAGCUGUGAGAAAGGUAAUUUAGAAGAAAUCCAGCAGGAUAUCUUAGAUAACCUCGGGAAUAGUAGAAGUAAUUCUGAUAGAAUUAAAAAUUUAAAUAUUUUAGCAUUUCAUUUCAGUAAUCUACCAAAACAAAGUUUUUCAUAUUAUGCAGUAGUUCGGGGUAAAAUACCUGGAAUUUAUUCCAAAUGGAUUUCAGUAGUAGAACAAAUUAAAGAUUUUCAAAAUCCUUUGUGGAAAGCUUUUCAUAGCAUCCAUGAAACCUUGGAUUUUGCUAGAAAAAAUAUUAGCAUCAGUUUUCAUGUAGAUAGCAAAGCUAGUAUGGAUAGCAUGAGGGUGCCAAUGCAAUCUUGUACAGAAGCCCCUAGUAGCAGAAAUAGUGGUAGAUGUUAUUCUGAUUCAAUAGCAUAUGAUAAUACUCAUAGCAUUCAAUUUUGUAGACAUUGUAAGGUUAUGGAAGAAGCAAUUAGAAUCUUAAAUAUUAAAUCUAGAAAUCUAGAAGAAGAAAAUAAAAUUUUAAAAGAAAAAGCACAUUCUCUGACAGGGCAGCUCAAACAAAUGUGUAAAACAUCUGGAUCACAAAGUGAUACAAUAAUUUCACAAAUUUCUGAAAUAGGGGAGCUACAAGAAAGAUUGUCUCAUACAAUAUCACAAAUGGCCAGUUCUUCAUCCGGCCCAGUAAAAGAGAUUUUUAUAAAAGAACAACCCAUCUCAAAUAGACCCUUUGAGUUUCUUAAGCCCAGAAUAUUUUUUAGGCCUUACUCUUUAUUAGAACCUUUCCCUUUAUCAAUCAUAGAAAUUAUCAGCCAUAAAGUGCAAGCCUAGCACUUAGCAAAAUUAGCAACAGUACAAAAACACUUCAAAGAAAUAGCAACCAAACCCAAUACCAACUACAGCCUUAACAUAAGUCCAUCUUACUGGAUCAACCCACAUAAAAAAUGUCCAAAUAAUCCAGGACCUUGUGAUCACCAAAAAUACAGAAACUAUUGUGUACAUACACUUGACUUUCUCAUACUCAGAGCAUCCAUUAAACUACACAGAUAUACUCCAGUAGCCCUUAUGGUCAAUCAAGAAAGAAUAGUUCUUACACCAUAGUUCUUAAUGGAUUGUGGAUUCUUAAAAGAAUUUUGGAUUUCUGAUCCGAAUGACUCAUAUCAGCUAGGAACAAGUUUAGCAUAUUUUUGUAGACAAAUGCUAAAUUAUGGACAAUGGGUUCAAAUAAAAAUUAAGUCAGCACCAGCAGAAUGGAUUGGACUCAUUGAUUUAGAACCAACAAUUCAUAAAAUAAAGAUUCAAAUUAGUAAUGUUUAUCCAACUCCACCAGCAGCAGCAAGGAUAAUAAUAGCAGAAUGUCCUUUAGCACUAGAAGAACAACUCCGGAAUUCAAAGGCUAUGCACUUAGCCUAUAGACAUUUUAAAUCCGGAUGGUCAUAUUUCAGAUUGGCAGCAGAAAACAAAAUUCAGAAGAUCUAAACUCCCUACCGAUAUAAUCUGGAAAAAGACUUUAUAGUUCAAACAACUUAUCCAGAACUAUUCCAGCAGUACUUAAAUGAUUAUAUGGAAGAAAGAGCUCAGCCGGAAGAAAUUGAAAAAGAAGACAACGAUCAUUAUUGGCAAACAAUGGGACCAGAAGAACUCCACAACAUCGAAAAUAUGAUGGAAGGAUAAUAGGACCUAAACACAUUAUUGUACAUACCUUACAAUUGAAAGCACUGAAAAGAUGCCGGUCUCAUAAAUUUUGGCCAUUGUCAGCCAUAUAGCCUUUAGCUUUUUGAAAAUUUUGGCCAUUAUCGGCCAUAUAGCUUUUUGACACAGUAUUUUAAAAAUUUAGGCCACUGUCGGCCUCAUAGACCAGACACCGAAUUCCAACCAAGUUGAAAUUCGUAAAAAUAAUUUGGAAACACAAGUCCGGAUUUCAAAUCCGAACAACAAGCCUAUAAAAGCACCAUUCUCAAACCAUUGUUGGGCACGAUGCUUUCAUAACUUGUAAAUUACAAAGCAUUCCAUAUAUUCAACUCUAAACACUUUUGUAAGUUUAAUCUUUCUAGUCAUCUUAUUAUUGAGAGGAAAGGGAAACAUAGAAUAGAAAUUAGUACAGUCUACCCUAGAUUUAAUCCAAAUAACCGGAAACUUUGAGAGAGAUACCCUAUUUUGGAGUCUUAAAAGUCCAAAAGACGGUGUAGUACCCAUCAUAGCCGUGCGGUCAAGAAUACUGCAAGGCGUAAGGGGAAGAUCUGAUGAGGGAAACCUCCAAAAACAGGAUUCCAACUCUCAUAGUAUCAGAAGGAAACUUUGGAAUAAAAUCAAGGAAGGUAUAAUUUCUGUAACUUCUAUCAAGUACCGAGUACUCAUAUAAUUUUAAAACUCAUAUACUUUAUAAUUUCUGCAUAUAAACUCUGUAUGAAUUUUGAACUACCUUUUCAGCUCACAACUACUCAAGAAAAUUUAUAUAGAAUAGCAUUAGCAACUCUUAAACAAUCAGAUACAUAUUAUUAUUUUGAUAAAUUUUUAGAAGAUCUAGAAACGUCAGAUCAGUGUUUAGCAUAUAUACAAAUAGAAGAAUCUAGAUUAGUAAAAGUAACACACCACCAUCCCGUAUCCUUUUUCAGAAAUAUUAGACAAGCAAAAGUAGAUUUACUUUGGCACAGAUAUUCUGAAUUAAAAUCCAUAGAAAAACAAAAAUUAGAAGAAAAGAAAAAAUAAAAAAAUAAAAAGAAUUUCUGUAAUAAGAUCUGUGGAACUUCGAAUUAAGCAAUAUAGGUCUUAAUCGGAGCCUAAUAAUCUGGCCAUUCCGGGAUCCGUCACCCCACUCUUUUGGUAUCAGAGCUUGCCGUCCUGGUGAGCCUGAUUCCUUAAGUAAUAUCAAAGAUAGAUAAAAGAUUAGAAUAUUUAGAUUUAGAAAUAAAAAAUAAAUCUAGAAAAACCUAUAUUGCUUAAUUCGAAGUUCCACAGGUCUUAUUACAGAAAUUCUUUUUAUUUUUAUAUUUUUCCUUUUCUUCUAAUUUUUGUCUUUCUAUGGAUUUUAAUUCAGAAUAUUUGUGCUAAAGUAAAUCUACCUUUGCUUGUCUAAUAUUUCUGAGAAAGGAUGCGGGGAUGGUGGUGUGCUACUUUUACUAAUCUAGAUUCUUCUAUUUGUAUAUAUGCUAAACACUGAUCUAACGUUUCUAGAUUUUCUAAAAUUUUAUCAAAAUAAUAAUAUGUAUCUGAUUGCUUAAGAGUUGCUAAUGCUAUUCUAUAUGAAUUUUCUUGAGUAGUUGUGAACUGAAAAGGUAGUUCAAAAUUCAUACAGAGUUUAUAUGCAGAAAUUAUAAAGUAUAUGAGUUUUAAAAAUUAUAUGAGUACUCGGUACUUGAUAGAGGUUAAAGAAAUUAUAGCUUCCUUGCUUUUAUUCCAAAGUUUCCUUCUGAUGCUAUGAGAGUUGGAAUCCUGUUUUUGGAGGUUUGCCUCAUCAAAUCUUCCCCUUACGCCUUGCAGUAUUCUUAACCGUACAGCUAUGAUGGGUACUACACCAUCUUUUGGACUUUUAAAACUCCAAAAUAGGGUAUCUCUCUCAAAGUUUCCGGUUAUUUGGAUUAAAUCUAGGGUAUAGGCUGUACUAAUUUCUAUUCUAUGUUUCCCUUUCCUCUCAAUGAUAAGAUGACUAGAAAGAUUAAGCUUGCAAAAGUGUUUAGAACUGAAUAUAUGGAAUGCUUUGUAAUUUACAAGUUAUCAAAGCAUCGUGCCCAACAAUGGUUUGAGACUGGUGCUUUUAUAGGCUUGUUGUUCGGAUUUGAAAUCCGGACUUGUGUUUCCUAAUUAUUUUUACGGAUUUCAACUUGGUUGGAAUCCGGUGUCUAGUCUAUGAGGCUGACAGUGGUCUAAAUUUUUAAAAUGUUAUGUCAAAAAGCUAUAUGGCCGAUAAUGGCCAAAAUUUUCAAAAAACUAAAGGCUAUAUGGCCUACAAUGGCUAAAAAGCCUACAAUGGCCAAAAUUUUCAAAAAGCUAAAGGCUAUAUGGCUGACAAUGGCCAAAAUUUAUGAGACCGGUAUCUUUUCAGUGCUUUCAAUUGUAAGGUAUGUACAAUAAUGUGUCUAGGUCCUAUUAUCCUUCCAUCAUAUUCUCGAUGUUGUGGAGUUCUUCUGGUCCCAUUGUUUGCCAAUAAUGAUCGUUGUCUUCUUCUUCAAUUUCUCCUUCAAUUUCUUCCGAUUGAGCUCUUUCUUCCAUAUAAUCAUUUAAGUAAUGCUGGAAUAGUUCUGGAUAAGUUGUUUGAACUAUAAAGUCUUUUUCCAGAUUAUAUCAGUAGGGAGUGUAGAUCUUCUGAAUUUUGUUUUCUGCUGCCAGUCUGAAAUAUGACCAUCCGGAUUUAAAAUGUCUAUAGGCUAAGUGCAUAACCUUUGAAUUCCGGAGUUGUUCAUCUAGUGCUAAAGGACAUUCUGCUAUUAUUAUCCUUGCUGCUACUAGUGGAGUUGGAUAAACAUUGCUAACUUGAAUCUUUAUUCUAUGAAUUAUUGGUUCUAAAUCAAUGAGUCCAAUCCAUUCUGCUGGUGCUGACUUAAUUUUUACUUGAACCCAUUGUCCAUAAUUUAGCAUUUGUCUACAAAAAUAUGCUAAGCUUGUUCCUAAUUGAGAUGAGUCAUUCGGAUCAGAAAUUCAAAAUUCUUUUAAGAAUCCACAAUCCAUUAAGAACUGUGGUAUAAGAACUAUUCUUUCUUGAUUUACCAUAAGGGCUACUGGAGUAUAUCUGCGUAGUUUAAUGGAUGCUCUGAGUAUGAGAAAAUCAAUUGUAUGUACACAAUGGUUUCUGUAUUUUUGGUGGUCACAAGAUCCUGGAUUAUUUGAGCAUUUUUUAUGUGGGUUGAUCCAGUAAGAUGGACUUAUGUUAAGGCUGUAGUUGGUAUUGGGUUUUGUUGCUAUUUCUUUGAAGUAUUUUUGUAUUGUUUCUAAUUUUGUUAAGUGCUGGACUUGCACUUUUUGGCUGAUAAUUUCUAUGAUUGAUAAAGGGAAAGGUUCUAAUAAAGAGUAAGACCUAAAAAACAUUCUGGGUUUAAGAAACUCAAAGGGUCUAUUUGAGAUGGGUUGUUCUUUUAUAAAAAUCUCUUUUACUGGGUCGGAUGAAGAACUGGCCAUUUGUGAUACUGUAUGAGACAGUCUUUCUUGUAGCUCCCCUAUUUCAGAAAUUUGUGAAAUUAUUGUAUCACUUUGUGAUCCAGAUAUUUUACACAUUUGUUUGAGAUGCCCUGUCAGAGAAUGAGCUUUUUCUUUUAAAUUUUUAUUUUCUUCUUCUAGAUUUAAGAUUUAAGCUUCUAAUUGCUUCUUCCAUAGCCUUACAAUGUCUACAAAAUUGAAUGCUAUGAAUAUUAUCAUAUGCUACUGAAUCAGAAUAACUUCUACCAUUAUUGCUGCUACUAGGGGAUUCUGUACAAGAUUGCACUGGCACCAUCAUGCUAUCCAUACUAGCUUUGCUAUCUAUAAGAAAACUGAUGCCAAUAUUUUUUCUAACAAAAUCCAAGGUUUCAUGGAUGCUAUGAAAAGCUUUCGACAAAGGACUUUGAAAAUCUUUAAUUUGUUCUACUACUGAAAUCCAUUUGGAAUAAAUUCCAGGUAUUUUACCCUGAACUACUGCAUAAUGUGAAAAACUUUGUUUUGGUAGAUUACUGAAAUAAAAUGCUAAAAUAUUUAAAUUUUUAAUUCUAUCAGAAUUACUUCUGCUAUUUCAGAGGUUAUCUAAGAUAUCCUGCUGGAUUUCUUCUAAAUUACCUUCCUCGCAGUUGAAAAAAUGUAAAUUAGAUCCUUUAGGAUACUUGUUAAGUUCCCAUUGGCCAAUUUGUACUUUGGGUAGCUGCCGUGCCAUCUGCUAAAAGAUCAAAAGAAUUGUUAAAUAAACGGGAUAAAAAAUCUGCUGAGUUAUUAUCUUUACCCUUAAUAUAUUCGAACUUAACCUUAUAUCCAUUACCUAUAAUGCUGUCUACAAAAUUUAACCAUCUUCUAGUAGAACUUCUUUUUUCAUUGUGUUUAUCGAAAAACUUUUUUAUUGCCUCGCAGUCUGUUCUAAUAGUAAUUUCUGGUUUGUUAAGUAUAAAAAGUCUAAAGUUGUCUAAACUAUAUUUUACUGCUAACAAUUCAUUGUCUAUGCUGCUUCUGUUACCUUUUUCCUUAUAUUUGCCACUGGCAUAUCUACAAAUUUGUUCACUAUUUUUGCUACUAUAUUUAUUUGGUUUCGCAAAAAAAACUGCUCCCCAUCCUAUACUACUGCCAUCACAUUCAAUUAUUAAAUAAUCUGUAUCUAAAGGUAAUUUUAAAUCUGUUAGUUUACUUACUAUUUGUUUUAUUGCUUGGACCGAUUUUAUAUCUUCUUUAUUAAAAAAUUUUUGUCCUUUUAAAGAUGUUUUGUCGUAUAAUGGUGCAACUAAAUUAUUUAAAUUUUUUAUAAAAGGUCUGGCAUAGUUUAGUAGUCCUAAAAAUUAUUGUAAUUUCUUUGUUUCUUCUAUUUUAUCUGGAAAUUCUAAUAACUUUUUACAAAUAUGUGGUUGUAAUUUUAUUUUUCCUUGUCCUAUUUCUGUUCCUAAAAAUUCUAUAUUUUUCCUAAAAAAUUGUGCCUUUUUAUUACUAAUUAUUAUUGCAUGUCUAAUAAAUUCUGUGAAAACUAACUUUAGUGUCCAACAUGUUCUUCUUUAUUUUUUUGAAAAUACUAAUAUGUCAUCUAUGUAUACUAUGACGAAUUCUUUAUAUUUGUUAAAAAUAUUAUCUAUUUUUCUUUGAAAUAUUACCAGUGCAUUUUUUAGUCCGAAAGACAUUACUAACCAUUUAAAAUGUCCUAAAGGGCAUGUAAAAGCUAUCCAUUCUAUACUAUCUGUGUGCAUUUUUACUUGCCAAAAUCCUGAUUUACAAUCAAAUUUGCUAAAAAUAUAUCUAUACUGAAUUCUAUUUAUUAGCUCAUUUUUAUCUGAUAUGUCAUAACUAUCCUCUUUAGUAUUAUCAUUUAACCUUUUAUAAUUUAUUACCAUUCUACUUUUUCCUCUGACUAUUUCACUAUGUUUUCUAACUAUGAAUGCUGCACUUCUAUGCGGACUGGUACUUUUUCUGAUUAUUUUUAAUUUAUUUAAAUCUCCUAUAUGCAUUUCAAAUUCUUUUAUGUCUUCAUUACUAGUUUCUAUUUUUGCUGUACUAAUUUUUAAAUUUGGGUUUAAAAUUUCUAACUUACAUUCUGUUUUAUCUUUUUCCUAAUGAAUGGUUGGAUUUUCUCCAAAAAUUUCUAGUUUUUCUAACUUACUUUUUAAUUGGUCUAUAUCUGUGUGUCCUGUUUCUAACAUAUUAUAGAUUUUCUCAUUUUGUAAAAGGUCUAAACUUAUUUCUAUUUCAUUAAAAUCUUUUCCUAUGCUAUCUAUAGUUUCUAUAUUAUUAAAUUCUUCUAUUUUUUCUAUAGUUUCUAUGUGGUUACAUUUGCAAUCUUUUGCUCUUUUAUAUUUACAAUUAUGAUUUUCUAUAAUUUUAUUGUCUUUCCGUAAUCCUGGUGUAAUGAACGUGUUAUAAGGUAAAGUAUGGUCUCUUAAGAAUGUUAACUCUGUCCUUGUAAUAAUCAUGCCAUGAUAUAAUUGUAGUAUAAAGGCUAGUCCUAAAAUCAUUUGAUAAUGAAAAUUUCUAACAUAUAUUUCUUCUACUGGAUAAGGUGGUGUGCAGUGAUUAUUAUCUAUUUCAAAAAAUAAGAGACUAUUAUGAAUUGCAGUGUCAUAGGUAUAAGUACUACCAUCCAUUUGUCUUGCAGUUCUAAUAUUAUAUGAUUUUUCAUAAUAUUUUUCUGGUAUUAGUUCUUGUUGGAUAACUAUAUCACUUGCUCCUAUAUCUACUAUCGCUAAAACUUCUGUAUCAAAAUUUCCUAUUAUUAUUCUAGUUUUUAUUUCAAUGGAAGUUACUGUUGGUAUUCCUGCUUGUAAUAAUUCAGAAUCAUAAUUAUGUCUUAUUAAUUCUGGAAAAUUUUCUAUAUCAGCAUUUUCUAUAUAUACUUCCCUUUCUAUUGAUUUUCCUUUAUCAAAUUUUUCUAUUUUUUGCUCUAAUUGUUCUAUUUUAUUUUCUAAAAUUCUUAUUCAUCUUUCUAGGUAAUGUUUUAAGGGCACAGUAUUUUCAGUUUUAUCCUUUUUAACUGGCUCUAAUAAAACGUAUAUUUGUGCUAAUUUAUCUAGGCAAAAUUUACAUCCUUCUGUAUAACAUAAUUAACAUUGGAAUCUUAAUUCUAUUGCUGGGUAUCUAUUAAAAUUAUAACAAACUUUACUAUCAUUACCUUUUCUAUGUUCCCAUUUAUGGGUACAUUCUACUUCUACUAGAUCUAAAUCGUCUAAUUUUUUAAAAUCUUAUUUUAUUUCUUCUAGGUAUAUGUUAUCCAUAAUAGUUCUAUUUUCCGAUUUUUCUAAGAUUUCAUUUAUAAAUCCUGUAUGUUCUUGUUCUAUAAAAUUUGUUAAAUCUAUGUCCUCUGAUACUAUACUAUAAAUGCUUUCUGUUUCUAAUAUAUUGUCAUCUAUUUCUAUUAGAUCUUCUGAAAAUAAUUCUACUAAAUGAGUUUCUCUGUUACAAGAAUUAUGUUUAUUUGGACAAUUAGUUGCUAAAUGAUUAGGUUGUUUACAAAUAAAACAAGAUAAUCUAUUCCUAUAGGUACGUUCUGGUCUAUAUCUUCUAACAUGAUGUUCCUUUUUAAGAAAUGGUUUUCUAGCUUUGCUCUUCCUAAGAUAAUACUGUUUUCUGGGUACUUUUUAUAAUUUUUAUAAGGUUUUCUAUAUUUUCUUUUUUCUUUUUCUCUUUCUCCAUAUUUUUGUGGUGUAUAUUUUUCUGUACAAAAAUUAUAUUCUCCUUUUAAUUGUUUUUGUAUUUUAAUAAAUGUACAUUCCUCUACUAACCUAUUAAUUAUGAGUCUUACAGCUGUACUUACAUUUUUUAAUGUUGGUUCCAUAGGUGUUACUUUAUGUAAAGUAUAUAUUUUCUUUCCUAGAUCGUCUGGUAAUUUAGCAAAUAAUUUUUCUAUAAUUCCUGCAUCAUAAAAACAUCCUGCUAAACAGCUAUGAUAUAAGAAAUCUUGUAAAAAUGGUUUAAUAUGUUUCCAAUUUCUAAUAUAUAAUUGUUCUAUUUUUCUUAUUGAUUCUAUUUGUGUCAGAACUCCUCCUCUAUUUGGAUUUGUUGCUAAAAGAAUUUCUUCUACUCUAUUAACAAAAUUCAUGGGAUUUAAUCCAUGCGCCUGGUCUUGUUGUAAUCUAUCUAGAAAUUUUUGUUUAAAUGCUUCCCAAGCUGCUCUUGCUACUCCUCCUAGAAAUGUUUCUAAAUACGUAUACAUUUCUGUUACAUUAUGAUCAAACCCUUUUUGUAUAUAAUUCCUAACUACUCGUACUUUCCAGCUACCUAUUACAUCUUCUAUCAUUUGGGGGUCAUAGGAUGUGAACAUUAAAGUCUUUCCUUCAUCUACUGAAUUUUCUUUUAUUUCUAAUUCUAAUGGUCUUCUUUUUCCUCUAGGGUUAUAUUUUUCUUCUGGUUCUCUAUAUUCAUUAUAUAUUAUUCUAGGUGGUUGUCCUGGUUCAUAUGUUCUAACAUUCACUUCUUGGCUAGUGUCAGUUUGCAUAUUUGUUGGUUGGCUGCUUCGACUGCUUUGUUCCAUUAAUUCUCUAUAUGAUGUUAUACUAACUGUUUCAAUAUCAUCUUUUUCUUUUUUAACUCUAAUAUUUCCUAUAUAAUCAUAAUAUAAAAUUUCAUCUAAAGCUAUUUGUCCAUUUGAUUCUAAUUUUCUUUCUAAAUCAAAUAAUUCUAUUUAUGUUAAAAUCAUAUUUAAUUCUGCUGGAUAAAUAAUUUUAUGUUCUAGUUCUACAAGUUCUUCUUCUAUCAAAUUUAUUUCUACUAGAUCUAAUUCUGUAUCUGAUCUUUCUACUUUUUUAUUUUCUGUUCCUAAAGAUGUUGAUUCAUAAUUAUAGAACCUAAGACUUGUUUUUCCUUCACUAUUUUUAUAUAUUAUACUUUCUUUUGGUAUGAUUGGAUUAUUUUCUUCUAUAAAUUUACUAAUUUCCCAUUCUUCUCCUGCCAAAUUUUCUGAACUUACUUCUAUUGGUUUUAUUAAUUUUAUUCCCUUACUAGCCAUAGCCUCUACUAUUGGUUUGAUAUCUACCUUGUAUCUGGUUUUACUACUAUUUGUUAAUCUUCCUAUAAAUCCUAUGUUUAUUGUUAAAUUAUCUCCUUGAAAAUUUUCAUAUCCUUUAGUUUGUAUGCCUAUUUCUAAAUUUUUAAUAUAUUUCUAAAUUUUUAAUAUCUUCUAAGGUUACCAUAAAAUCUGGACUACAAUAAAAUAUUCCUCCAUUUUGGUUCUUAUCUACUUCUGUACUGGCUAUUAAUGCAUCUUCUACUGGCUAUAAAUCAGAAGAAGUACCAGUCCACAUAGAAGUGCAGCAUUCAUAGUUAGAAAACAUAGUGAAAUAGUCAGAAGAAAAAGUAGAAUGGUAAUAAAUUAUAAAAGGUUAAAUGAUAAUACUAAAGAGGAUAGUUAUGACAUACCAGAUAAAAAUGAGCUAAUAAAUAGAAUUCAGUAUAGAUAUACUUUUAGCAAAUUUGAUUGUAAAUCAGGAUUUUGACAAGUAAAAAUGCACACAGAUAGUAUAGAAUGGACAGCUUUUACAUGCCCUUUAGGACAUUUUGAAUGGUUAGUAAUGCCUUUCGGAUUAAAAAAUGCACCGACAAUAUUCCAAAGAAAAAUGGAUAAUAUUUUUAACAAAUAUAAAAAAUUUGUCAUAGUAUACAUCGAUGAUAUAUUAGUAUUUUCAAAAAAUAAAGAAGAACAUGUUGGACACCUAAAGUUAGUUUUCGCAGAAUUUAUUAGGCAUGGAAUAAUAAUUAGUAAUAAAAAGGCACAAUUUUUUAGGAAAAAUAUAAAAUUUUUAGGAACAGAAAUAGGACAAAGAAAAAUAAAAUUACAACCACAUAUUUAUAAAAAGGUAUUAGAAUUUUUAGAUAAAAUAGAAGAAACAAAGAAAUUACAACAAUUUUUAGGACUACUAAACUAUGCCAGAUCUUUUAUAAAAAAUUUAAAUAAUUUAGUAGCACCAUUAUACAACAAAACAUCUUUAAAAGGACAAAAAUUUUUUAAUAAAGAAGAUGUAAAAUUGGUCCAAGCAAUAAAACAAAUAGUAAGUAAACUAACAGAUUUAAAAUUAUCUUUAGAUACAGAUUAUUUAAUAAUUGAAUGUGAUGGCAGUAGUAUAGGACUGGGAGCAGUUCUUUUUACGAAACCAAAUAAAUAUAGUAGCAAAAAUAGUGAACAAAUUUGUAGAUAUGCCAGUGGCAAAUAUAAGGAAAAAGGUAAUAGAAACAGCAUAGACAAUGAAUUGUUAGCAAUAAAAUAUAGUUUAGACAACUUUAGACUUUUUAUACUUAACAAACCAGAAAUUACUAUUAGAACAGACUGCGAGGCAAUAAAAAAGUUUUUUGAUAAACACAAUAAAAAAAGAAGUUCUACUAGAAGAUGGUUAAAUUUUGUUGACAACAUUAUAGGUAAUGGAUAUAAGGUUAAGUUCGAACAUAUUAAGGGUAAAGAUAAUAACUUAGCAGAUUUUUUAUCCCGUCUAUUUAACAAUUCUUUUGAUCUUUUAGCAGAUGACACGGCAGCUACCCAAAGUACAAAUUGGCCAAUGGGAACUUAUCAAGUAUCCUAAAGGAUCCAAUUUACAUUUUUUCAGCUGUGAGAAAGGUAAUUUAGAAGAAAUCCAGCAGGAUAUCUUAGAUAGCCUCUGGAAUAGUAGAAGUAAUUCUGAUAGAAUUAAAAAUUUAAAUAGUUUAGCAUUUUAUUUGAGUAAUCUACCAAAACAAAGUUUUUCAUAUUAUGCAGUAGUUCGGGGUAAAACACCUGGAAUUUACUCCAAAUGGAUUUCAAUAUUAGAACAAAUUAAAGAUUUUCAAAAUCCUUUGUGGAAAGCUUUUCAUAGCAUCCAUGAAGCCUUGGAUUUUGCUAGAAAAAAUAUUGGCAUUAGUUUUCAUGUAGAUAGCAAAGCUAGUAUGGAUAGCAUGAGGGUGCCAGUGCAAUCUUGUACAGAAGCCCCUAGUAGUAGCAAUAGUGGUAGAAGUUAUUCUGAUUCAGUAGCAUAUGAUAAUACUCAUAGCAUUCAAUUUUGUAGACAUUGUAAGGUUAUGGAAGAAGCAAUUAGAAGUUUAAAUCCUAAAUCUAGAAAUCUAGAAGAAGAAAAUAAAUUUUUUUUUUAAAAACUCAUUCUCUGACAGGGCAGCUCAAAGAAAUGUGUAAAAUAUCUGGAUCACAAAGUGAUACAAAAUUUCACAAAUUUCUGAAAUAGGGGAGUUACAAGGAAGACUGUCUCAUACAGUAUCACAAAUGGCCAGUUCUUCAUGUGACGCCCCCACUUCUCCCUAAGGCGAACCAAAGGGUAUCUGCGGGACGCCUGCCCAACUCUCACCAGGACUCACGCAAAAACAUUCAAGCUUAUAACUAAUCUAAUAGUCACAAGUACAAAAACAUAAAUACAGUGAUGCGGAAGCGUUCAAGUAAACAUGGUCAUCUAUUAUCCAACCCGUACAUCGGGUGUUCAAAAUACAACUUUAAACCCAAAUUCAUCUCAUACCCAAGUACUACAUUCCAAAUACAAAAGUACAACCCAAAGCCAAGAGGCGUAGCCAUAAUGAUGAUAGAAACCCUAAACAAAAGUACAUCAGGAGGGUUUCUCCAAUUCGUCUCCGGGUCCAGUC